rnacentral:lncRNA from 1 species
CUACACUCAACACUACUUACCUCCAAACUCUUCGUGGUCAAUGUCCUCGCAAUGGUAAUCAAAGCGUCUUAGUGGAUUUCGAUCUGCGUACGCCUUUGGUUUUCGACAACAAAUACUAUGUGAAUCUUAAAGAGCAAAAAGGUCUUAUCCAGAGCGACCAAGAGUUGUUCUCUAGCCCCAAUGCCACUGACACAAUCCCCUUGGUGAGAGCAUAUGCUGAUGGCACACAAACAUUCUUCAAUGCAUUCGUGGAGGCAAUGAAUAGGAUGGGAAAUAUUACACCAACUACAGGAACUCAAGGACAAAUCAGGUUGAAUUGUAGAGUGGUGAACUCCAACUCUCUACUCCAUGAUGUGGUGGAUAUCGUUGACUUUGUAAGUUCUAUGUGAGAAUAGUUGACUCAAUAUCUGGCGACCAGACUAUAUGUUAAGAUAAAUAAGCGGGAUCUCAAGUUGUUACUUGAGCAGGAGCAGAUUGUAUUGGUGUUUAUAGUAUCCAAGUAGUUCUCUGUUUUUUUUUUAUAUUGGCCUUUGAUAGCGUUUUGUUAAUCGGUCUAAGCUUCUAUGGUUUUGGACUGUUUUAUCCUAAUAAAUAUGACAAGAUAAAACGUUUAUGUUAUUUGAAAAUAUUUUGUCCUACGUUUCCAUUUCUCUAGUGAUGUAUAUAAAAGAAGAAUGUGUGAUCUAGCAAAAUUGAAAUAUGAAUAUGGUUCAAGAUUGUCGUGAUACAUAGUCAGAUAUAUAAAGAAUAAAACGUAUCUAACUUUGUGGCCUUGCAUUGAUUUAUGAUACGUAAAAAAAGGACGCGACAAAUAUGAGCCUGGCGAGUCUCUCCGAACACACAAUAAUUCUGGUGGAACGAGAAGCGAUUCAUAGGGUUAUCAAGAGGUCUAAUUUCAAGCUGAGAGGCCUUUAUGAAGAUUAAAUUAAGAUCAGUUGAGAAACUCAAGCAUUGGAGGGGAGAGGAUGCGGCUAGAAACUUAGAUAUGGAAGCUUCAUAAAUACUUAACUGAUGAGAAAGAUGAAUCGCGUAAGUUACAAAUGGAGCUUGCUGGAAUUUAGAAGAGUCUAUGUGUGUUCAAAAAUGAUAAUCACAAAGUUUAUUAUGUAUGUAGCAAAGCUUAAAAAGAAACUUGUAGCUGAAAAGAAAAAAACCUAAGCUGUUCAAAGAAUGAACUUUUGGAGAACUUGAAUAAAACAAGGAUUCUCAAUGGUGUAACAAAUAAUCCAUAUAAAUUUUUUGAGCAUAUAGAGGCGAGAGAAGAAGAGUAUUGGUACGAGUUAUAACAAAGAAGCUAAUUAAGUACAUCUAGAUCAAAUAUUGUAUUUGGUAGAAAUGCAUAACAUAAAAAAAAAAACUCACGACUAACAUGUCAAAAGGAACAUGCGCACAAUUUUAAUAGGGAAAAGAAGAAUUUGGUUCUGGAUACUACGGAAGUUCAUCAAAAAUCAUUUUGUAGGUGAAACAAGUGAACUUUAUAUGAAUUUAUUUAUAGAAAAGAAAACGUAAUUGAAACCCAUUAACCUAUGAUACAAUUGUGUCCAAUAAUAAUUUGAAAUUAAAAUCCUAAUUAAAUAGAAACUAAAACAGACAAAUACGUUACUUAGCUUGAACCAAUUAAACAGAUGUCUAGACAAGUACGUUACUUGACCCAUUUAUUCCCAAGUUUGAAUCACCAUUCAAAAAAUGUUACAAAGACAAACGUUUUCUCCAAUGUAAUGGAGUAUUCUGCUGAGGAUUUUGUGUAUGUAGUCCCCUAACUACAUAACUAAAGAUGGAUUGAAGAAGGGUAAAAGAAGAACAUACAAUUUCUAAGGAUGGUCACAUUGGGCUAGAAGCUUUUGUUGUUUGCCCAAAAAAAAAUAGUAAAGCUUCCUUUAGGUUAAUGUGAGUAGUUUUAUAAGCAUGACAAGAUUUUUCUAGGCUGGCAUAUAUAUGCUUUAGACAUCCAAGAGGUACAAACUAUGUAUAUCUCUAAAGAAAUAUAUAUCUCCAUGCCUAUAAAACCAUCUCACAUUAACCUCAAAGGAAGUCUUGCUAUCUUUUUUAGUUCCUUAAGGAUAAUGGUACCCAAAUAAUUGGCAAACAACAAAAGCUUUUAAUCUAAUGUUCCUUGCGAAUGUACCUCAGAAUCAUUUUAUAUCGUCAUGCAUGUAUUAGCAACGAAUUAGCAAUAUUCGAAAGAUUUGAUAUCAAAUAACACUAAAUCAAUUCUAACAUCUGAAGGCUUGACAACUAUCUUAUUUGCCACUCAUUUGUGAUGAGUGACAAGAUUGUAAUGAUCCUAACAACCUCACACUCUCGUUAUAUAUCGCAAAAUUGUCACAGCCGUUUUCGAUGCACAUGAUCCGACAACCAUUUUGGUUGUAAUGAUCCUGAAAACCUUCACACUCUCAUUACAUAACGUCGCAAAUUUACUAUACAACCAUUUCUUGACAAACAAAUCGGUCACUAGCUAUUCUUCUGUUUUUUUUAUUUUUCUUGUAAUAUUUAUAUAUAUAACGAGUGUGACUUGGGCUUUGACAAUGUUAGUAUAGCUUUAAAACGGGGGAAAAAAAAAUACUAGAACAUUAAGUUUUGAGGGUGCAAAUAUGUAACAUAUGUGUUGUAGAAAUACUUUUUAAAAUUUCAAUAAUAACCUUGGUUUAGUUUCCAUUGUUUGAAUUGGUAUUCAUAUCUGACUACCGUAGAAUUCAAUUUGUUAGUGCAGAAUCUGAAACAGAAAUUGUGUUGUCUGUAUAUUCUUUUUUUGGGCUCUCAAAUAUUUCGUGUAUUUUUGUGGAAUUUUAUAUAAAGUUGGUGUCUUUUUUAGGACUUUUCGUUGCAUUCAAUUAUGUUGAAUGUGUAAAAGUAGUGGCUUUCCUUGGUCACAUUUAUCAAACGUGUUUUCGCCUUUCUUUAAUUUUCCGUGUUCAAGUGAAUUCUAGCUAACUUUUCGGUUUUACGUUGUAUGAAAAUAAUUGGCUGUCGUCGGUCACAUGAUCACAUAGAGUUUAUUUGAUUCAAAUCCAUUUAAUAUAUGCUGUAUCUUUAAUGCAUACAUAGAGAUAUAUUAUUAUACGUUAUCUUUUAAUAGGACAUUAUAUUUUGUUUAUAUGAAAGAAAAGAAUGUACUGUAUAUGCAGUUAUAUUAUGCUGGUUUAUGUCAAAGAUAGAAGUUAACGCAAAUUAAUUUCUUUAUUUCAAUUGUGUUUUGCGUUACGAUCUGUUUUUUUUUUUUUUGGACAAAUGACUUAAGAUUUUAUUACUUCAUUUGAUAUUAAUAAAUUAGUAUGGGUGAUGCAAACGACUUGAAGGCUAGGGUUGGUACCACGGCUGCUAAAGUCUACUUUUGGUUGGAUCUGUGGUCGGAAGAUCUUGACGUGAUCACUUCUAUAAUUGAGGAUUGUGUGUUGCUGCUACUCUCCUCUCACGAUAACUCACGUGGCCUUUUUCUUGUUUUUCUUUCUUCAUAUUUUCACAAAACAAAAUAGUCAGAGAUCUUGAGAGAUUUUUUCAGAAGCAUAUUGGGCCCAAAUGUGGACAAUUUCAUGUGGUUGAAUUGUUAAAUUUCAGAUAGAUUAGACAACUAAUCUUGUUGACGUGCAUGCGGUGAGGAUAUUAAGUCGCUAUACGUCAUAUACGUGUAUACUUAAAAUCUCGUUUGAUAUUUCUUUCUUUUGUUUUUAUCUUCAACGACAAUUAUUGCCUCAGGCAUGUCAGCAGAAAACGACACCGUUCAUAUUCGAUCUCGUUAUUAAUAUGUUUUUGAAGCAAAAUAUCAUUAUUAGCUAUGGAGUUUCUGCAGUAGCCUAACCGGAAGUCUCAAAAAGAUAACGUUUAUGCCGGUUAUAAUUAAAUCCGAUAAGGCGAUAAAUAAGUGAACCCGUAAAGUCUAAAAUUUUCACAUAUAUAUGAACAAAGAAAUAGUCUAUAGAUCUCCAUGCAUUCUUGUACAAACAUAUUUAAUUUUUUAUUUUAUUUUCUUUAUAUAAGAGUUGGUGUAUGAAACUUUACAUUUUGUAAAUACUAACAUUACAUCAUAAUGUCAGAACCAAUAAUUCUAGUGGAAUGAUAUAAUCUCCACUUUAAAUUCUUAUGUCUUUAUCCAAAGAGAUCAUGAGGAACUUGAGCAAAGGAAGAGGGCACCGUUUAGUAGUAUAGGUGAAUAACGUGGCGGACACGAGGCUGGUCUCAUUUUCAAAUAAAGAGAGAUAGAGAGAAAAUGGAAGGAAAAAAAAGCUAUUGGCGAUGUUGAUAUUUGUUCGUCUUUUAGUGGAGACGACCAAGAGAUUUUGAAAGGUCGUCGAGGAGUUAGUUUAUUAUCUUACAAUUAUUAUGGAUUUCUUCUGACUAAAGUUUUAGUGCAAUAGUUUUCUGAGUUAUUAUAUAUUUUUCGAAAUUCAUCCAAAGGCUAAAACUUUGUAAGGUAUUCUGAGUCUAUUACGCUAGAAAUAGACACGCUUACGUUUUUAAGUCAUUUUAAUCUGAUAUAUAUAUAUAUAUAUAUAUACUACAAUUUUAUAACCAAUUAUCUUUGUUUCAGACAAUUUAUAUAAAUUCAUAUAAACUAUCAGAAAUAAAGAGACAAUUGGCUGUAAAAUUGUAUUAUUUUGCAUCUAUGAAAUUUUUAUUUCUCUUUAUCAAAAUUGAAGACGAGUUGAAAUUCUAUUUCUUUUUUAAAAAAAUUUAUAUAUGGGAGUGUCAAAAAAUAAUUUUCCUUUGUAAGAGAAUAUUCGUAUUUGGACGAGUCUUGAUUUGUGUUUUCCGUUAGCGUUCCACAUUAGUUGUAAAGAGCGAGAAAGAUUUAAGUGAUAAUUAAAAAGACAAGAUAUGCAUUUUGAAUAUACUCUAGAUAUUAAUCUUAAGCAUUUUUCAUAUUGGUUAUAUUUUAUGGUCGAAUUUUGACAUCCGAAAAAUACAUCCCUUAUUCUUCAAUUUAUAUUGAAUACUUAAGUUUUUGAUAGUAAAUAUGUAUAAAUAAAUUUUAAACAAUUGUCAAAAAGACAUUAUAACUUAUACGGUUAUAGUUGUUAAAAAAAAAACUUAUACGGUUAUACCAAUAGAUAAACUGACAUUUUAGAUUUGAGUUUUUUUUUUUUUUACUUUCCAUGUAGAUAGCGUGGAAUAAUACCUCAUUUAUAUGUAUCGUUAGUUGAAAUAAUUGACAAAAGGAAACUAUUCGUUUGCUGUUCUAGAUAAAAGCCUUUAAUUGAGAAAAAGAAAAUGCCUCCAGCUUUGACCCGUUUUGCCUAUAAAAGGAUUCUCUAAGAUAUGGACUUUCCUCAUCUUCUCGGGUAAACAGAAUCAACUAGUUUUGUUUUUCCUCUUUCAAAAAUGCAUUUCUCUUCGUCUUCAACAUCGUCCACUUGGACAAUCUUAAUCACAUUGGGAUGUCUUAUGCUUCAUGCAUCUUUGUCCGCUGCUCAACUCACCCCUACCUUCUACGAUAGGUCAUGUCCUAAUGUCACUAACAUCGUACGAGAAACCAUUGUAAAUGAGUUAAGGUCGGACCCUCGUAUCGCUGCGAGCAUCCUUCGUCUUCACUUCCACGACUGCUUUGUUAAUGUAAGAUAUUACUUUUUAUAUAUCUAUAGCGUUGCGGAUUACUGAGGGCCAUCUUUUAAAUAUUAGUAAAGCAGUGUAAAAAGUAGGAAACAAAAGUGAUAACAAGUGUAUUUUGUCAUCAGCAGAUUCAGCACACGCAAUUGUCUUAGUUAAUACUCUUUUUGCUCAAAGACUAAAUUUCACGUAGUUAGAUGUUACUAGUUGUUAACUGCUUUUCUUUUUCUAUAUUGAAAAUUAAUAUUACUCAUCGACAGUGAUGUUACUGGUUAGUUGUUAAUUUCUUACACAAUGAUGAUGCCAAAACAUUUAUGCAAUCGGAUUCACGAAAAUAAAGUAUCCGUGUUACAGUCUAAGGAAUUGCAUGGUGCCGUACCAAACACGAUAGAAAUUUAAGAUCCAUCAAUCAUUUUUCUUUUUUGGUUGAGGGAUAUAUAUUUAAAAAAUAAUUCUAAAAUCAUGAUUAUUAAUUUUUAUAAUUCAAUUAAAAUUUUGAUGAAUUUAAAUAUUUUAAUGUGAUUAUAUAUAAGUAUUUCGGUAUACAAAUAUUAUUUCGGUAUGGUUUAUUUUCUAUUGAGUUAAAAUUGGUUAAAGGAGUUUCUCUAUCACUUUGUUUUCAUUAUAAUUUAGAUAUUUACAGAUAUACCUUCACUGAUUACUUGCUUCAGAGGAACAAAUGGUUUUAGUGAAUGGCAAAAAAGUUUUUAAUACAUUCAUGACUAAUGAUUUGUUAAAUAAAUUUUUGGACUUUGAAAGGGUUGUGACGCAUCCAUCUUGUUAGACAACACGACAUCAUUUCGAACAGAGAAAGAUGCGUUUGGAAACGCAAAUUCGGCUCGGGGAUUUCCAGUGAUUGAUAGAAUGAAAGCUGCGGUGGAGAGGGCAUGCCCAAGAACCGUUUCAUGCGCAGAUAUGCUCACCAUUGCAGCUCAACAAUCUGUCACUUUGGUAUGCUCCAUUGUCCCAUAUUCAUUUACAAACACUGUUUUCAAUAUGAAAAGUAUUCAAUAUUAAUUGAAAAAAGCGCGUGGUCCCGUUAAGAAAAUUUGACAAAAUUAGGUCUCAUAUCACUAGCUUUGAUAUCAUAUUAACCCAAAAGAAUAAUAUUCAACUUUUUUCUCAAGAAAUAGUGGAUAUAUAAAAAUUUACUUUGUGUAUAUAUAUCUAAUCAAUGAAUUUAUAUUACAUGACUCUCUUUUUCUCUUUACAUGUUAAAAAUAAUCUCAAGAAAAUAUUAUUGUAAUAUAAUGGUUAUUAUACUAUAGGCAGGAGGUCCUUCUUGGAGGGUUCCUUUGGGAAGGAGAGACAGUUUACAAGCAUUCCUGGAACUCGCUAAUGCAAAUCUUCCAGCUCCAUUCUUUACACUUCCACAACUUAAAGCCAGCUUCAGAAAUGUUGGUCUCGAUCGUCCUUCUGAUCUCGUUGCUCUCUCCGGUAAUUAACAAAAGAAAAUUAAACACCAUUGAUACAAUAUCAAUUAGCGAUAGUUUAUUACUAAUCUAAUUAUGGUAUUUGUUUUGUUUAGGUGGUCACACAUUUGGUAAAAAUCAAUGUCAGUUUAUUCUUGACAGAUUAUACAAUUUCAGCAACACAGGUUUACCCGACCCUACACUCAACACUACUUACCUCCAAACUCUUCGUGGACUAUGCCCCCUUAAUGGCAAUCGAAGUGCCUUGGUAGAUUUUGAUCUACGUACGCCUACGGUUUUCGACAACAAAUACUACGUGAAUCUCAAAGAGCGAAAAGGUCUUAUCCAGAGCGACCAAGAGUUGUUCUCUAGCCCCAAUGCCACUGACACAAUCCCCUUGGUGAGAGCAUAUGCUGAUGGCACACAAACAUUCUUCAAUGCAUUUGUGGAGGCAAUGAAUAGGAUGGGAAACAUUACACCAACUACAGGAACUCAAGGACAAAUCAGAUUGAACUGUAGAGUUGUGAACUCCAACUCUCUGCUCCAUGAUGUGGUGGAUAUCGUUGACUUUGUUAGCUCUAUGUGAGAAUUGUUUACCCAAUAUGUGGCUACAAGAAUACAUAUAUAUUAAUGAAUAAAACUCUCAAGACGUUUACUUGAGAACAUUUAUUUUAGUUCUCUCCUUUUCUAGAAGUGUAUAUACGCCACCACUAGGUGUCUCUCACUCAAGGAGAAGCAGAUUUGUAUUAUUAAGCUCAUUGCGCAGUUUGUGGCGGGGUAUGGGAAGGUGUUUCAACGGGAUUUGAAGGCGAUAAUUGUUAAGAGCCAUGAGCAGUUUGACUUUUUGAAGCCAACUAAUAGCAACUUCGGUCUUUUUAAUGCCCUUGUUACUUCGUAUUCACGAGUAUUAAAACAUUCCAAGGGUUCUCCCUCCUUUCUUGAUCGUAUUUUCGACCAUCUUCGAUUGGAGAAGCUGGAGGAGGGAAGGGAUACGGUUAUGGUUGAUUUGUUUGACUUUGUUGGAGGAGGGAGUAGAGACUGCUGCGAUCGAUUAACAUGCUUUUGUGAGUGGUGUUGACCGUUUUUCUCACAUUGCUGAUGAAGAUUAUUCUGCUGCCAUGCCACCACCUGAACGCCUUUCGGUGAUGAUCAUGAACCGAGUAGCACAAACACAGCCUGAUAUGGUUUUGCAGCUUCCACUGGGAUCUCAGCUUACUAGUGAAUAUAAAGUGUAGGUGAUUCUUUUAGGUCUCCUACUCUAAAAAGACUAACAUUAAGAGUCCCUGCAAAGGGGAUUACACUCAAGGAGCUUGGUGUUAUGAAGCUGACAGCGCAGUCUUCGGUGCGAUAUGGGUUUGAUUUUUGGUGUGGUUUAUGGAAGAGAGUGUAUAUGAACCCAUUGUUUCAGUUCUUGAAUCCUUCCGAUAGCCGUUCCGAUUUUUACAAUGGGUUUACUGCUGCGUAUUCCAGAGUGUUAAAGCCUUCUAAAAAGCUGAAGAAGUUUGAUGCUUGUACGGCGACCGUGCUUGAGGGGUUUUUCCACCGUCUUCACCUGUUUAAGCUGGAAGAGGGAGUGGAAACUGCUAUGAUUGAUUUGCAUGGUUUUGUGUAUGGAGUUGACUGUUUUGCUCACAUGGCAGAUGACAACUAUUCUGCUAUCAUGGAUCCACCCGAACGGCCUUCGAUGAUGAUUAACCAGCUAACACAAAUCCAACGUAAUGCUCCAGCUCCUCAUGAGAAGUGUCUAAAACGUAGCUAUAAUUUUCCUUAUGCAUUUGGUGGCGGGAUCUCACUCAAAGAGCUUGGUAUUAUGAAGUUCACAGCUCUGUUUGUGGCGUGUUACGGGAUGCAUUUUUUUUGAGAUUUGAUGAAGAAAGUUGUUAUGAAACCUCAGUUUAAGUUCAUGGAGCCAACAAAUAGCGUGUUCGGUUUAUAUAAUGUUGUUGUUGAUGCGUAUUCUAGAGUAGUAAAGCCUUCUGAUGAUGCUUGUACGGAGACCGUUCUUGUGGAUUUUUUCCGCUGUCUUCGAUUUGAGAAGCUGUGAUUUGAUUUGCAUGCUUUAUGCGGCUUCCACUGGAAUAUCAGCGUAUGUAUCCUCCUUAUCUUUAUAGUUAUGGUCAGUCUGCAGACGCUUCAAUGGGGAUGAUGCAAACUGCACGACCAGAGGAACCAGAGGCAAAGAGACAAAAGUUUGACGAGUCAGCUCUUAAUCCAGAAGGGGCUGUUCGAAGGCGUCACAGUCGAUGGCAAUAAGAAAGGUUUAUUGACUUCCAUUCAAACAAGAAAUUGUCACAGAGUUUCGAUUGUUUGUUUGUAUUAGCUCUUUUGCUUAACACUUGCAUGUUAUAAGAAUGCGUUUUCAUUCAUAAAGAAACAACAGUUAUUUGUGUUAUAGUUAGAAUUCCUUUGUAAGUUAUACGAAAAAAACAUUAACUCAAACAGAAGAUAACCCACAAACUUGAAACCAAUAAUGGGUUGGAACUUCAAUGCCCAAUUUGUGCAGAGUAACCCACAAACUUGAAACCAAUAUUUAACACGAAAUUACAGCGUUCAAAAAUCAAUUGAAAAAUUGCUUGAAGUCACUGAUCUUACUCUUUUGCUUAGAUCUCCAAGAACUUGUUCAUAUUUGUUCCAGAAACAUAUGCAUUGCUUGUUUGGAUUUUGGUUCAUGGAACUGUUCUCUGCAGCUUCACAGAAGAUUACUACAGCGUCAACAUUCCCUCUGACUUGUUCAUUUUGGUUUUGGUUGUGUCGACUGGUUCGUUUUCGGGAAUAAUAGUUUUCUUAUUUGUCCCUCUGCGUUUUCUUCUGAUGUUGCCUGCAAGAGUUUUGAUUGGCAUGAUAUGUUAAUACCAUCAAUUAUUAUGUCAGCACGGUUUCUUAAAAUAUCAUAGAUCAGGAACAAGAUCUUAAAACAUGAAAGGAAGAACGGAUGUACCCUUGUCGAGAAUGCAAAUCGCAAUGACUCAAUCUUUGCUCCUGCGCAAAGCCUGAGGUCAAAACCUAGGGAAUCUAUCCCAAUCAGCUUCACUUCCUGCAAACAAAAAGGAAUGACGUCGAUCAUCUAUUCGUACACAGCCAAAACCUACAGAGAUAUCCUGUUAUAUUCCAGAGCUUCUAGAGUUAAGUUGAAGCUAUUUACCUCUGCUUGAAUACUGUUAUGUCUCCAACACAGAGAUUUGAGUGCUUCAGUUAUUUUAUCACCAGAUUCUUCUAAACGGCUUAUGAUUUCAGCUGAUGCAUGAGCAAUAGCAUCAGGUUGUGCUUUUCUGACAUCUUCCACCUCAACUUCAGUCUGUUCCCAAAAGUUUAAAAGAUACUAGUAAGCAUAAGAUUGCAACAAAAAGAAGAGUUUACAUAAGAAGUGAAGCUUGAAAACGAGAAUCAUGAGAUUUGCCAAUCAAGAAACAAAGCAAGAGCAAGCGUAACACAGUUUUCCAGAUAUGCGACAAUGGUUAGAUAGACGAGAGUUUUGCAAGAACAUGAAUAAAUUUACACAGAAAAGAUGGAGGCUAUGUUCCAAACCUGAUCCCCUUGUGCUGUGAUAAGCUGAAUUCUUAUCAUCUCCAGCUUGUAAAACGCCACCACAUUUCUUGCUUUUUCAUCCUGUGAUGAAUCUAUCUCAGAUUCGUCACCACCUGCCUUACUAUUGUCUUCAAGCUUGUCCACUAAGUUUUCUGCAUCCUUGUUUCCGUUAGUUGUAGAAUUGCUAUCAGCAAGUUUCUUUUGGAUAUCUGAAUAAUCUUCCACUAAGAUAUGACUCAAAAGUCCCUGGAUAGCAAGGCCAGCAGACGGCUGAUCCAUCCAAUCAACAGGAUCAUUUGAAGCAACCUAAAUUUGACAACAAACAAAUGUGUUAAAAGUUAACCUCAGUCAUUCUCUUUUAGCCUCAGGUUUGAAAAUGAUCUUGCAUAUCGUUUUUAUAAAGAACCAAAACACUUUCUUUUUAAUGAAUUCUAAAAGUCAACCUCAGUCAUUCUCUUUGCAAAAAACAUGGGAUGACAACUCCUCAUUGUUUCCAAAUUUGCCCAGUCUCCCAGCGAUUCAUCAGAAUCAGAAUCAUCAUCAUCCUCAUCAUCAUCAUCAUCAUCAUCAUCGUCUUCAUCUUCAUCCUCUAAAAUAGCAACCCAUUCCUGAAGUCAAGAAUAAAUAGUGAAAUAUGCUAAGACAUGGCAACAGUAUUCCUGUCAUAGAAUUCCUUAGUGACUUAAUAUAAAAGAAGAAAUAAAAUUUGUUAAACCUCCUCAUCUUCGUCUUCUCCUGUAUCCUCACUGUCAUCAUCUCCACUUUCAUCAUCUUCAGUUUCAAAGUCACUAUCAGAAAGUCCCAUCAGCUCCAUUUCCUUGAUCAUCUCCAUCGUAUCAAAACCAACUAUAACUUGCUGCAAUGCAUCCAUAACAUCUUAAAGGUUAGUACAGAAUAAGAUAGAGGAUAAAAACUACACAGAUCAGUAUAGUCAGUUAUAAUCAAGAGAAACAUAUUGAAGCUAGAAGGCUCAUAUUGAUGUAUGGAUGUGCGUUUCAAUUUAAAAUAAACCGUCAGAAGAUACAUGCUUUAGCAACUGCAACAGAAAAAAUAACAGAUCUCUCAUAGACAAAGCUUGGAUUUGAAGCACUUGGAACAUAUAAUAAUGUAAAUAGGAUAUCAAUGUCUUGUGCAACAUACCACAUAAUUAUUUUCAGAAGUAACGGACUGCAUGACGUCCUCAUCCUCCUUUACUUGAAAGUAUAAAUCUGCAAGGCAUUAGGGUGAUUCGCUUUAAUCGUGACGAUGUUAGGUAGAUUAAACAAUGACAUGGAACUAAGGAUAAUUAAAUUUUAUCUUACUUCCAUUUUGAUCUGUUAUAUAAGGUAUAUCUGGCCAGAGAAUAUUCUCAUGAACUCCAUCACCAAUAGAACCUGUAAGCAUCAGGGUUCCUUUAUUGUUCACCUGAACAAGACACACUACGGGAAAUGUUAGAUGCACAAAAACGGAUCAUGGACAAAAAUAAUGACAGGAAAACUGAAAAUGGAGGAACAUGUAUUCAUAAAGGCAAUAUAUGUAAUGCAGACUUACAUAGACUUUGAGAAGAUAAAAAAAAAAAAAAAAACUAUUCUCUACAGAAGAGGAUUAGAGGACUACUGAAAAUUGAUAGAUGAAUGUUGAAGCAACCUAUAAUAGGACCAAGCAAAACUACUAAAUGCACUAACAUGUGACUGCAACAACAAGCAUGUAACAUAAGGCAUUGGUCUAACAAUAUUUUCACCAAAAAGAUAGCUUAUGCUGAUUGAAAGACGCAAUAUAACACCUCAAUGAUGGUUCUAGUAGUUUCUGCAGGUGAAAGCCUGGAAUCUCCAUCAUUCUGUGGCAAAGAGGCUCUGAUUUCUUCUGAAGGAUGAUACCUUGACUUGCCAGUUUGCUUUUCUGGAUCUGAAGCUGAAUCUACAUACUCAGCUGUGGCUUGAGUUCGAUUCUUCCGUAGGUGUUUUCUUGUUAUAUAGUCACUGUUGUACUUCAGAAACCCACUCCUAGAAAAGUGCAUAUAUGAAUGUGAGAUUUACAUUAUAUAAAGAAAACCAAAAUAUUCAGAAUCUGUAAUUUCAAAAGAAUCGAUCUUUGAAUGUUUCCACGGCUCACUAAAGAAGCAUCUAACUUAGUGCUCUAUCUCCAUAUAAUCAUAUAAUCGAGGAACAUCCGCUUCACACUAAAUUCAAUAUUCACAGCUGACAAGAAACAUAUUGCACUCGUAUUAUACACUCAGCACUCAAAUACUAGAAUCUAUCCUCCUGGUGAAACGAAAACUCUCAAAACUAUUUUACAAUUUAAUGACGGAACAAAGUGAAUUUUUCAUUACCCAUCAAUAUGGUGGAUACGUUGAGGCUGAAAAACGCGGCGGGACGCAUAAUGGAAGCAGUUUCCUCCCUCCUCCGAGCUCGGUGCUGUACGAUACUCUACAAAUUUAGCAUGAGACGAUUCAGACGAAUGAACAAAGACUCUUUAAGAAAAACAAAAACUCAAUGAAGAUAGAAUUGAAGAACAGAGACAUAAAUAGAGCUUACGGAGUAACGCCGUCGACGAGCAAAAUCCGGUGGAGAGACGAACGGCCAUAACCGACUCAAUCAUCGGUAAAACUACUGUUAUCUCUAACCUCUCGCUCUCUCUAUCUCUGAGCUCAGAAGCUGGACAAAGAUUUGCAGAUUAGGCUAUCAUCUAUUUGGUGAAUUUUCCUUACCGGUGAUGACGUGUCAUAUUCUCAUUCGUCGAAACCCAACUAGAUAUUGUCUAAAAAGUGUAACUUUCACUUUCACCAAAACGCUGCGUUUUUGUAAAGUUAACAUUUAUUAAUUUUUGGUUCACCAAUAGUCACCACAAGAGCAAACACCGAACCGGAACACAUGAAAUCUAUUAGUGUCUCUGAUGAUUAUCUCUCGAGAAGUUAUCUGUGAGAUAAGCUUAGCUGCAACAUGACAGUCUCCACAUAUCCUAAGAUUCUUCGUUAUUCUUAUGGUAUUAUUACUGUCUUCUUCUUCCUCCUUAGUGUUCAUCAGAGCAAACACAAUGGCUAAUUUCUCACUGUGAACAGCUAAAUGCGUCUCUUUAUCUUCCUCUUCCACAUCGUGAAGCGCUGACUCUGAAUCAGGAACAUAACCUAACUCUUUCAUUUUCUUUACUAGAACAUCCAGCUCUCUGUAUAUCUCAUCGGAUUGCGGGUGUGACCUGUCGCCUACUAAGAAUGUAUGAAUUAUUCUGUUGACCUCAACAUUGCUUGCUCCGGGAUUCUUCUUUAACCCUUUGCUCUUCAUUAUGUUUCUGAUGUUAGUCACUUCUUCCCAUCUUCCAGCCUUUGCGUAUAUGUUAGAAAGCAAUACGUAGUAACCCGAUUGCUCGGGUGCUAACUGGAAAAGUUUAUCAGCUGCUAGUAGACCGAUGUCUGUAUCAGAAUGCACCCUGCAAGCUCCUAAUAAUGCUCCCCAAACUCUCUCGUUUGGUUCCAUUGACAUAUCUUGUAUAAAUCUGUAAGCUUCUUUCACUUUCCCGGCUCGGCCAAGAAGAUCCACCAUACAAGCCAAAUGCUCUAACCUAGGAGUGAUCUUGUAAUGAUCUGUCAUGAGUUUGAAACAACUCCUACCUUCUUCUAGUAACCCCGCAUGGCUACAAGCAGCAAGCGUUGUGACAAACGCAAUUGAAUCAGGGACGAGACCCGAAUCUUGCAAUUUCGAAAACAAUGCCACUGCGUCACAGCCUCGUCCGCUGAAUCCAUAAGCUGAAAUCAUAGCUGUCCAAGACACAACAUCACGUGACUUCAUGUUCUCAAACACAUCUCUAGCUUUCUCUAAACAUCCGCAUUUUGCAUACAUGUCGAUCAGUGCAUUCUCUAACAACAGAUUUGGUAUCAGCUUCUUCCUCUCAAUGUAUCCAUGGAUUUUCUUACCAAGAGACAGAGCAGAGGUAUCUCCACAAGCAGGUAAUACACUUGUGAUUGAGACUGCAUCAGGUUCAAACCCAUCAGCCUCCAUUCGGGAAUACAAUUCCACAGCUUCAACAGGCAUCGCAUUUUUCAUAUACACACCGAUCAUCACAUUCCAUGAAACCAAACUCUUUUUCCCCAUUUUAAAAAACAUAUCUUUAACAUACAUAACGUUUUCAGUUGUAGUGUUACUCACUGCUGGUAACAGACUAGCCAUCGUACCAGCAUCAUGGCUUAUCUUCACAGACUCCAUUUCCCUACAAACCUCCAAAGCAUCAUCAAAUCUCUGAUUUUGCGCAUACCCAACAACCAACGAGUUCCAAGACACCACAUCUCUCCUAGACAUCUCGUCAAGUACAAGCCUUGCUUCAGAUAAAAAUCCACACUUUCCAUACAUAGAAACUAAACCAUUCCCAACAAACAAAGUCGAAGAGAGCCCAACUUUUGUAGCAGACCCAUGAAUUUUCCUCCCAAUGACAAUAGUCCCAGAGCAAGAACACGCCUUUAGAACACACGGGAAAGUAUAAUGAUCAGGUCUAACAUUACAACCACACAUCGUCCCAAACACUUUAACACCUUCACCGUAAAACCCAUUAUUCACAUAGCUUCUAAUCAUAACAUUAAUGAUAAUUACGUUUCUCUCAGGAAUUUCGUCGAACACCUUGCGUGCUGACGCUACAUCUUUUAGAGAAGCAUAAGCUCUCAUAAGUUUAACACCCAAAGAAGAAUUACAACGUAGAUCUUCCAAAAUGAUUCUUGAGUGGACUGUUCUAAGUGUUCUGAUAUCUGGGUAAGUGUCAAGUACCUGACCAAGUAAGAAAACUGUCUCCUGUGGUGAUUUCUGAUCGAGUUCCAAUUUGGGUAGGGACGAAGAUACUUUUCGUGAUUGAAAUUUUCUGAAUUUCGGAAAAUGGAGAAGAUGGAGAUCGACAUUGAUGCGUUUCAUGAGCUUUGAAAUCGAACCUCAUCACUAACAUCAACGGUUAUAUAUAUAGCGCGACUAGCGAGCGCAAAUAGCAACGGUAACAAUAUGUGUAGGUAAGCCGGUUAUAGAGAUUCAACCAUCAUAUAUAGUUGAACCGGAUCAGACCGGUCUUACAUGACCAAUUGGGUUUAUAUAUCUGAUUUUUUAACAACAUAAAUCUAAUAAUAUAUGAGUCAUUAAAACUUGGUUUAGAUAAGUCAUCUUUGAGCUUUGUAAAUCAGUCACAAGGUUAAUAGUAAAAGUUGCAGUGACAGUGAGGUUUAUGUAAAACUCCUCCUCUGGGGAAAAAUUAAAUUUACCAAGUACAUAUUUAAGAAUUUUCAGAAUUGUUUUAUUUUGAAAUAUAAAUCGAGGACUUUUAUUGAUAGAUUGAAGUAUUUUUUGCUUUUUGCUUUUUGCCCCAAAAAAGAAAGAUAGAAGUAUUGUCUAUCUUUUUUUGUACUUCUUAUUGAAAAGUUGAUAUCAAAAUUAAGUAACACCAUAUGAAAAUGAGAAAGUGACAAUCAUGUCUAUCAGAACAAAGAACAUUCUUUUGCACUACAUAGUAAAGUAAAAUAAAUAAAGAGAGAGAGAGAGAGAGAGAGACCAAGUCUCCUUGCCUUCUUUUCAUCCAUCAGUUACUAGUCUCGAUCGAUCAUUGUUCCACAUAUAUGAUCGACAUUUUCUCAUAAAAAUUGACCUUUAGAAAGAAAUUUAGACAAACCAGAAGUCACCCGUUCCGCCACGAUUACAAAAGAUGUUCAAAGUUCUCAAUACCGUGGGGUACUACCUAUGUGAGUUUCCCAAUUUUCUCCUUCAUGGUUUUGUUAUUCUGUCGUGUCGGAUUUUAACGACUUCUGUUCAUUCGUAACUGUGUUUUUUCCCGAACAUACAUCUAAAACUCUCAGAUUAAAAUAAAUUACAUAACUCAAGAUCAUGUCAUUUUUCAGGUUGUAACUGUUUGAGAUCUGUCAAAGUAGAUUCAAAAAGGAUGGAUAUAUGUUGCAAAGAUAUAAUUAGUGAUCAUUCAAAAAAAGAUAUAAUUAGUGAUCUACCAGAAGCUCUUAUUUGCCACAUCUUGUCAUUCCUUCCCAUAGAAGAUUCGGCUUUGACUUCAGUACUUUCGAAAAAGUGGCAGCAUCUAUUUGCUUUCAGACCAAAUCUUGAGUUUGAUGACGCUGUAGUAUAUCUUAAUCCUGACGGAGAAAGAAAUGAGACAAUAUUUGAGAAUUUCGUUGAUAGAGUAUUGAGUUUGCAGGGUGAUUAUCCUAUCAACAAGUUCUCUCUAACAUGCCGAGAUUUUACUGAUCCAACUUGUGUAUCUCGUUGGAUAUCAAAUGUGAUGGAACGCGGGGUAUCGGAUCUUGAUCUACGUUGUAUUGUGUAUUGGGAUAAUGGUACCAUGCCUCCAGAUAUCUUUGUGAGCAAGGCACUGGUUCAUCUGAGAAUAGAAACUGGAAACGGUGCCUUCAUUGAUGUGGAAGAUGUUUUUCUUCCAAACCUCAAGACUCUAUAUCUUAAUAAAGUCUUGUUACGACACAGUGAUAACGGCUUUGUGAAGCUUAUUACUAGUUGUCAUGUUCUUGAGGAUUUAUUUAUUAUGAAUAUAUGUUGGGAUGGUUAUUUGAAGCGCUCUCUAUCUUCUAAAACCCUCAAGAGGCUAACGUUCUUUUGUGAAGACGUCCAUGCCGUAAAUCCGGAGAGUGUUUCGUUUGAUACACCCAAUCUUGUCUACUUUGUAUACCAUGAUUGCGUUGCAGACAAGUAUAAAAAUAUGAAUUUUGAUUCACUUGUUUACGCUAGUAUCUGUCUUCAAAUGACAUCUCAUCAGCGUACACAUGCAAGCUAUGAACAUUUGGUCGGUAAUGCAACAGAUUUUCUUUUGGGAAUAAGCAAUGUUCAGAUCCUUGAAUUAUUUGCCAAUACCAUUGAGGUUUGUAUUGUAAUCCCUUCUUCUUCUUUUUUGGCUACAUUGAAACAAAAAGAAGACAAACAAGUUAGUGUUACAUGCCUUGCAGGUACUUACUUUCUGUUGUGAACAAAUACCGGUAUUCAAAAACCUGGUUUGUUUAAUUAUUAAGACUGACCAAAAAGCAGGAUGGGAGUCAUUGCCGGUUCUACUCAAAAACUGUCCAGAUCUAGAAAGCCUUAUCUUCGAUGUACUAACUCAUAACCUUUCAUAUAUUGCAUUUGCUUACACAAAUUUGUAAACAAAAAUUGAGUUUGAAGUUGGUUACUCUACGAUUCAGGGGCUCCAUCACAACGAUACAAUUAAAUGUGAGGAUGUUGACGGGUGUCUAUGCAAAUCUUCACGUGGCAUUCCUAGUUGCCUAUCAUCAAGUCCGGUGCAGUUUCUAACGAUAUGGAAAUUUGGUGAAAUUUGUGAUGACUAUGAUGACAUGGAGAAGCAGAUAGAGCUCGUCAUGUAUUUCCUGGAGACAAUGCCGAAUCUUGAAGAAAUGAAAUUGUUCUACGAUACACAAAUUUAUGAAGAUGUGAUAAGCAAACUUCAGAUGUUAGUAACCUCGUCGAAAUGCACAGUCUAUAUAAUCCCCGAGGUCUAACUUCUACGUGUCUACGAAUCAUCUAUUCGGUAUCUACUAAACGGGGUUUGUUCUGUAAUAUGUGUAUUACUCUUUCGCCUUCUCAAUACGCAUUUUCACUUUUGUGUUGAAUAUUAUAUACUUUAUGUUUUCUCAAAACUUCAAAAUUUAAGCUUAUGUCAAACCAAUUGUUCUGAUAUUGCAAAACAACCCCAAAUCGUUACAUUUAAAUUUAUCUUUGGUCCUCUCGCAAUUUUGUCGUCUUCUUAAGUGCGAGCGAAAUCGUUUCUGCAUUUUGUAGGAGGAGUCAUGAAAUUGUACAUUUUGUCUUACCCACCGAGAAAGCAUGAGCACGAAUCGAGGCUUAGCGAUUUCGUUUGCUCACUAAAAACCCUAACUUUCACUUUUUCCCACUCUGCUCUCUGUUCUUCCGUCGCCGUGUAGAAAUUUCGAUCAGGUUCGUCUCUUUGUUUCAUUCUACAGCUUGUUUGAUCAUGAUGAUGAUACUUUGAGAUUCUAUGUGUGCCCAUUGGCUCUAAAGUUCUCGUUUUUUAGUCUCUCCUCUUUGUGCUCUGCGUUUUUGUGCUCACUGGCUCUAAAGUUCUCAUUUUUAAGUCUCUGCUUUUUGUGUUCUGCGUUUUGCAAUGUGGAGAAGAAGAAGUGUUGCUUUAUUAUAGCGUUUUCUUUUCUCUAAGCUUUUAAGAUACUAAAUAUGAGAUUUUUUAUUUUUUUGGCUUGUUCUAAUACCAAUCUCACUAAUCUUUUACUGUUUACAGGGACUUGAGACGCACUUUGUCUCUCAGAUCCUUAUUCAAUGCUCGCUGCUACCAACCAUCUUGUAGCGGUAUCAUUCAACGUGAUGAUGUCCAUGAAGAGAAGCCACAUUACGGCUCUUUUCUUCAUCAGAGAUCCUUCAGCAGUUCGAUGAUUCUCUCUCAGCAGCAUAUGAUGAGAAGCCCUUCACAUUUCCCACUAUGCUCUCCUUUUGGUGUCUCUACCUAUCGGCCUAUGUCGACUUCACAUAUUUCAGGCUCAGAUGAGAGUGGCGAUGUGAAUCAUGUUGCUGAAACUCUUACUGAUUUAGUGCAGCAAGAUACAGUCAUCGAAGUUGCCGAUGCUGCUAUCGAUUCCUCCAUCCAAUUAGAUUUUGUUCAGCAGAUAGUUCAUAAUGUGCAUUCACUCACAGGCUUAAACUGGUAAGAAAUCUUCUUCUUUUUUUUGUGUUGGUCAACUUUUAAAUCAUGUCAUCCUUGGAGUUAUUGUUGGAUCACUUUUUUGUGUUUUUUUACACCCAAAAAUGACCAUGUCUUAUAUCAAUCAUCUCUGUAUGUUCUGUGAUUGCAGGUGGGCUUCCAUUGUUUUUACCACCUUUCUAAUUCGAGGAGUGACAAUCCCUCUCAUGAUUGAAUGCGAAAGAUGGUUUUCAAAGAGGAUGGUAAUAAAACAAUGUUCUUUCGUAAACACAUGAGUUUUGUGUCUCAACCAACCAAAACACCGUUCUUGUUUGUGAUUGGCAUUACUUUCUAUUUAUACUGUUCACUGUUUGAAACACCAUCAUCAAUCGGAAUCAUAAUGGGAGAACUAGAAUCAACAAGCUUAAUCCUUCCAUGUUAUGAUCUCUAUUCAUUCAUCAUAUCCUAAAUACAUUGUACAUUUCCCCUAAAAUCUCUUUCUUAUAAAACAACAAUACGAAUAUAAAUGGCCAAGCAAACUACAAGCAGAUCAAUGGAGAUUUUCAGAGUCCGAUUUCUUGUAGAUAAGCUUGGUAUGAAGAAUAGUAUCCAACAUUGAAACAGCUUCAACGAUAUUCUUGCCUUUGUUUAACAUCACACAGCUCGCCCUGCAUAUUUUCAAAAUGCAAAAUUAGACAAAGAAACUGCAAAUCUUACAAAGAUCAUGUCUAAUGCAAAAUAUUUUACCUUUUUGCAUUUGCAGCAUCAGUAAUCUCAGCUCUAGUUGGAACUCCGGAUUUCACAAGUGAUUCAAGAACCUGAGUUGCCAUAAUCACCGGUACACGAGCAGCUUUACAAAUAGCUAUAAUCUCCUCCUGCAUAUUAGCCAAUCUCUCCCAUCCACAUUCCACUGCAAGAUCACCUCUAGCUAUCAUAAUUCCUAAAGGAUUCGAACACUUCAUUGCUUCUAAAAGAAUCAAAGACAAAUUCUUGAAUCCACUUUUCGUUUCAAUCUUUAAAACAAUACCAAGAUCAUCUAGUUUUCUUUUCUUCAACUCUUGUCGAAGAACGGUUAUAUCAUGGACAUCACGUAUGAAAGAAAUACCAACCAUAUCAGCAUGUGAAGCUACAUAAUCAAGAUCUUUAAUAUCUUUUGAUGUUAAGCCUUUGAAAUGGAUAUCGCUCUGCGGUAUGUUAAUGGACUUCUCUGAUCCUAGUUUUGUACCUUUUGGACGUGCAUGAGUUAUGGAGACAAUUACCUCUGAAGGACUUGUUCCUUUUAUGACUCCCCAUAUUUUUCCAUCAUCAAAACCAAUGGUUUCACCAGGCUUGACUGAAUCAAACAAAUAACCGGAAGGACAAGUUAACCUAUGAGCUCCUGGAACAGUUACAGAUGGUUCAUCGAGCGAUCCUUCUCGGGUUAUGACUAGUAAAUCUCCAACUUUUAGCCUUACAAAAGAUUCUUUGGGAGGAACAUCUACUACUCGUCCAACUAAACGUCUCCCUUUCUUUCCCUUAACACUUAACUCAGUUCCACUUUCUAUGUAAGCAGUGUCGAAACAUUCAGCCACAAACCCGGUACUGUUGAAAACAUGAAACUCUUUUGAGAUUUUAAGUCUCCUCUUUCUCCCUCUAGCGUCACAUAGUCUUAUAGAAUCACCAAUUUGGAGACCAGCAAGAAAAUCUUGGCCUUGGACCGAUAUAGUAGCAUCAGGGGAAACAUGAGCAGGAGGUUCUGUUCCUGUGAGGCAGAGCCAUACCAAAGCAGGAGAAACAACAUUUCCAUAAGCAUCUUUCUUUGGUGAAAUUUUCAUCACACACGGACCAGGUUUUAAGGUACCAGUUCUGAGUUUUGGUCCUGCUAAAUCCAUAUGAACGCGACAUGGCAUCUCUAACAUCUGAGAAGUUCUUCUUACUCUUUUGAUGAUCUCACCCCAAAUACUUGGAUCUCCAUGUGCACAGUUUAUACGGAUAACAGAUGUUCCAGCUUUAAGAAUAUCAGUUAUAAAUGUUUCACUCAAAGUUGCUUCUUCACCAAUAGUUACCAUGAUAUGAGUACUUCUUCCCUCACGAAGUUUACCAAGUAAUGACUCUUUGUAUGAUAAUACCCUCCCUUUAUCAUUCUUCUUAGUACUUUUUCCCUUGGGAUAUACAUUAGUCCAAGACUCCGUCACAGCGUUUUGAUCGUUCAUCAAAAGAUUAAUAGAGGCGUUAAGGUGGGCGAGAACAUCCAGAUUGUUGUUGUCUAAACUUGACAGACCAAGAGAAGCUAGAUGACUGUUGAGCUGCUCAAUGUCCAGAGAUCUCAAAGCCAUAUAAUGAACUAAGUUUGUUGCACAUUCCAGAUACUUACUGCAACAGACGGUACUAGGAAAUUAGGCGAAAAAUAAGUAAUGCAAACUAUAUAUAAAAUGGUUAACAAACCUGUCACAUAAGUGUAGUUGAGAAGCAUUCCAUUUCUCUGCUGCUAAGAGAUGUGACCGAAGAGCAUUCAGUUUUUCGAUAACACUAGCCACAUUAUUGGCCCCAUUGCUUCCAGAGAGGUCUGCUUCUGACUUGAGAUGAGACAUAGCAUCUUUAGAAUCUGGAAAGUCAAAACUCCAGGUACAUUCUGUGGAGGUAUUAUCACCAAAGGUGGCUUCCAAUCUGCUGAAACUUUCAGCUUCGCCUUUCCCGCGAGCUAAGGCAAAAGCUAAGGUUCUCUGAAUAGGAAGUUUCAUGUGAUUAAGUGAUAAUGCAUAACUUGUCUUCUUAUGUUGGUUGUUUAUGUGAGACCUGCUGGAGAAGCAAAGGAUCUUGUCUCUCAACAAGUGGCUUGAAUCAAGUCCUACCAUAUCGACUAAUUGAAUCACCUGAGAAUCAAAACGAAAAAGGAGAAACUGUUAUAGAUUGACACAGAGGUUAAAACCUAGGCAUAACCACAAAGACAAGAAACGAAACAUGUAUAACGCAAAGAAAGAAAACAAAAAAACAAACAAAUUCCAAGUUCGUGAAAAGGACAAAAACAAGCCUACCACAAAUCAAAAUCCAGGAAACAAAUCAUAUCUAAGCAAAUAAGUUUUCUAGGCUACUGGAAUUGAGAAAAUAUCUGGAAGGAAUCAAAAUCAACCGAAACUCAUUCCCUAGAGGACAAGAACAUGAGAAAUACCUUUGUUAUGGAGAAGCGCUUUGUUCAGAUAAUGUCUUCGCUCUCGUCUUGAGGAGAAGAAGAAGAAGAAGAAGAAGAAGAAGAAGAGAAGACAGAUUUUUCAACGAAGAAGAAGAAGAAGAAGCAGAAGAAAGAAUGAUGAAGAAUUUUCUUAAUGAAAUAAAAAAAGUUGUGGUUAAGGAUAAAAAGGGAGUGUGGCGAGCGCGUGUCAGAUUCAUCUUCUCGGGGAAUCUAGUAACACGGACGGAUGAGGCUGAAAGGUCCCCAUUAUAAAACGACGUCGCUUUGUUUUUCUAAACCUAUUCAGACAAGAGACCCAAAGAUAGAAAAAAAAAGACCGGUCCAUGCGGUUUAACCAAACCAAUUCCGUGAAAACUGAUUAAUUUGGUUUAUCUAUUCCAACAAUGGAAAUUGUUUGGUAAAUUUUAAAAGAGUUUGGGAAAGUAGCUCCUAUUGUAAAAGAGUUUUAUAAUUAGACAAAGUCGUUUAUGAAUAUAUGAAACACUUAACUGACUAUUUCAAAUUUCAAAUAUAUGUAUAACUUUUAACCAUGUAAGAACAAAAAAAUAAGAAUGGCUAAGUUUGCUUAAUUAGAUUUUGUAAAAUUUGACACAUUAUUUCUAAAUUACAUUUUAUUGAAACUAUGAUUCAUUUAUUGGAUGUUUUUUAGAAAGUUUGUGAAAAUUAUUAGCGGAUUUGUAAACUGAAGAAUGAACAUAAACCAUUCAAUCUUUUAGUUACGGGAAUAAUGAAACCUAUAAAUCGGUACAAAGUUACAAACACAUUUCUAAGCAUAACAUUUGUUCAACACAACACUCUCAAUAGGAAUCUUAUCCGUGGGAAAAUCACAGUCUGAGUCCAUUGUAGUUCUCUUAUCCGGUAACAAACUGCACGGCUCCGGUGUAACCCUACUAGUAACUCCGGAGACAUCCGUGCAGUUCCACUGCAGCUUCUUCGGGUCCGGCGACAAAGCUAUAGUCACACUCGACAUGCAUAAACCCGUAAAUGGACCAUUCUUGAUCCUUUCUAGCUUUGCCGAAAUUGUAACGUUUUCUGCGGUCAUGUCACGGUAAUGGAUAUUGCUAAUCUCCGGCAACGCCUUGGGAUCAAACCCGCCUACGGGAUGCAGCUUAUACGAACCGGUCAUCCAGAAAACGUAUUUCAUCGUCUUCAUCGUAAAUCUCCUAGCGAAAAUGUCUUUGAUGUAACCGCCACGUCCUAUAGCGGUUUUGAUUCGGAUAGCGGAUUGUGUGUUGAUUAGUGUCACCUCUUCAGUUUUCGGAGAAGAUGAUUUCGAUCAACAAAGGUCUUGAUAUCGACUUGAAACCGCCACUUCGAUACUUCAACCACCAUGACUUCCCUUGUCCAUUAGUCGUUCUUUUGUUACCUAACAACAAAUUUGAUCUUAUAAACUAAAUAUAUAAUUUUGAUUCAAUCUCAUAUAUAUAUAUCCAUCAAACCAUUUUAAUGAUUUAAGUUUUGUUGUGCUUACCGGUGAUAACAACAUCGGUUAGGUUACUUCCGUAUACUAAACCAGUAAACCUUGCAUCUCCGUAUGACGGCAAAGGUGGAAUCAUAGGAUAUUCAGACUCAUCCUGUUUGUUACAAACGAAAUAAAACCAAAUGUGAUUAUUUAUCUCAAAUAGAAUGGUUGAUAUUUUUUAGUGCAUUCAUAAAUAGGUGUACGAUACUAGCUAAAAUUUUGAGCUUAGAUAUAUUUAUUACCUGAGAAGCAAGAAUAGUUGCACCUUGCUGGAUAAACAAAGUAAAAUGGCUUGUGAGGUUGAAACUUCCGGUGAGCCAACUCCCCGGCGGUACAAUGAGUUGGACUCCACCGUCAGCCGCCAACGGAGUAAGCUUACUUAUUGCUUCUCGAAACGCUUUGGUGUUUGAGGGUUUUCCAUCUCCAAUAGCUCCAAAAUUCGUCAAAACCGCACUGUGUUUCCGGCAAUUCAAAGCCAAAUAUUCAAUACUCUUAUUGCUUGUUGAUCCCAAAUUGCUUUGGAUACGGGAUUCCAUCAUCGGAAAACCGGAUAUUGCUAAUACCACUAGUAUCUUAAAACUUGUCUGAAUCAUCUUCAACUGUAAUAACUUAAAUAAAUUAGAAUGCUUCUCUUUAUUUAUUUUUAAAAAGAACGAUCACAUUGAACCCAAAAUCCUCAAGAUUUAAAAUAACAUUGAAUAGAAAAGCCUCAUUUGUGUAUCUAAAUCUCAAAGUCACCAUUCACCAAUAAUCAUUACAAGAACAUUUCCCAUCUUUAAAAUGAUGAAAACGAUUCAAAUCCCUCAACACAAUCUCUCUACCAGAGACUGUCGAUAUAUAUUUCAUCGCGUUAUGGCAAUCUCCGCAGACCCGUAAGUUCUUGAACACCCUAACCGGUCUAGAUUUCGACGUGCUUAUAAGCCCAAACGCAACCGCAAUUUUCUCGCUGUGCUGAUAUAGUAACCUCUCCUUCUCCGCCUCAUCAUUCUCCUCCUCUAGCUUGUGAAGAACAAGAUCCGUAUCAGGAACAUAUCCGCAGCGUUUUAUUUCUGUAAUUAACCGAUCCAAUUCAUCAUAUAUUUGGUGAGCAUUCGGGUGAGCUGUAUCACCUACGUAGAACUUAUGAAUUUUAUCUCCCACUUCUAUCCAACUGCAACCUCCUUCUUUAACCAAGUUUCUCUCUUUCAUCUUCCUCCUCAUCUCCGUAGAUUCUUCCCAUUUCCCUACAUAGAAAUAUUCAACAAAGUGUCACUUUCACACAAGGUAGAUCAGUAGAAGAAAGAGUUUUAUCUGAUUGUGUUUGAAUUAUAUAGAUACCUGCACAAGCGUAUAUGUUUGAGAGCUGUAUAUAAGCUGCAGGCUCAUUCGGAUCAAGUUCUAAGAUCUUCCUCGCAGCCAACUUUCCGAGUUCUGUGUUACUGUGAACUCUGCAAGCUCCAAGAAACGUACGCCAUACUAAAACAUCGGCUUGGAAGGGCAUUGUGUUAAUGAACUCAAAUGCGUCUGUGAGAAGCCCGGCUCGACAUAGAAGAUCAACCAUACAAGCAUAGUGUUCCAUCUUAGGUUUGAUCUUGUGGUCUUCAUACAUUGAAUUGAAAUGUCUCCAUCCUUCGGAGACCAAACCAACAUGGCUGCAUGCCGAUAAGAUUGCAACAUAAGUGACCUCAUUUGGCUUCACCCCUUCUUCUAUCAUUUGGUUGAAUGUUUCGAGUACCCUUAUAGCGAAUCCGUGUUUAGCGAAACCUGUGAUCAUUGAAGUCCACGAGAUGACAUUACGAUUUUCCAUAAAAUUGAAGACUCGGGAAGCUGUGUCAAUGCUUCCACAUUUGGAAUACAUAGAGAUCAAAGCAUUGCAGACGGGUUGAUUGCACGAGAGCCCGAGUUUAACCACCUGAGAAUGGAUUUGCUCGCCUUUUCUUAUUGAACCAACAUUUGCAACUCCACUCAACAAGCUAGCAAAUGUGAAAGCGCUAACACCUAAUUCUCUCUCAGUGAUCUCACUUAAAAGCUUAAAUGCUUGCUCAAAAUUCAAGUUCCUGCAUGUUCCGUCAAGAAAUGUAUUAUACGAAACCAAGUUCUUCUCAGAAAGUGACUCAAAAGCUCUCUGAGCAUCUUCCAUCCUGUCAGAUUUAACAAACAUGCUGAUAACCGAGUUUGCAACACUGCUAUUCGAAGCAAGCCCUCUUUUGAAAGCUUGACCAAGAACCUGUUUACCUACCCGUGGAUCCGAAAGAUUUCCACACGCCUUGAAUGCACUCGAGAAAGUGAAAUGAUUUGGCUCAACAUGACCUUGCGUUAUCAUUUCACUAAAGAGAUUAAUAGCCUCUGUAGCGAGAUUACAGUUUUUCAUAUAACCAGUGAUCAAUGCCGUCCACGACAUAACACUAUGAUCCUCCAUUCUAUCAAACACCUUCCUGCAAUCAUCUACCGAACCAUCCGCAGAACAUUUCGCAUACAUAUCAACUAAACUACAUUCAACAUCAUCCACAAGCCCUGAUCUAAUAGCCCAAGAAUGCAACUGCUUUCCCAAAGACAAGUUCUCCAACUCAGCACAAGCCGAAAACACAGAGCUUAGUGUGAACUUAUCUGAUUCAAAUCCACUUAAAACCAUAUCCAAGAAAAACCUAAUCGCUUCCCUAGGAAACCCCAUCUGCAUACACCGAGUAAUCAUCAAAGUCCAAGUAACAACAUUUAGUUCAGACAUUUUAUCAAACACCUUAUACGCAUUCUCAAAGCUAUUCUCUCCUUUCACAAACAUGUCAAUCAAAGAACAACCCACACACACAUCAGAUUCAAAAUGCCCAGUCUUCAUCAAAAACCCUAAAGUCACUCUCCCAACUCCAACAAAAUCCGAAUUCGAACAAGCUCGUAUCACCGCCGUGUAACAAUAAUCAUUAGGCACCAAACCUAACUCCAGAAACUCAACAAAAACCUUAAUUGCAUCUAAUUCUCUUCCGUUGUUACCGUAACAAGCCAUCAUCGCACUCCACGAAACAACAUCUCGCUUACCAAAUCUUCUCAUAGUCUCAAACACAUCUUCAGCUUUCGCCGAAUCUCCAGAUUUCGAAUACAAGCUAAUCAACGAAUUGUAGAGAACCGAAUCAGGCUCGAUAUCAAACUCGAUUAAUCGAGCGUGUACGAGUUUCCCGAGACGAAAAUCGCGUGCUCGGAUACAAGAUUUGAGAAGUGAAGAGAAAGUGACUGAGUCCAUAGGACGAAUCCCAUCACGAGCCAUGAGAUCAAGAGCUGAAACCGCUCCACGAAGAUCUCCGGCAUUGAGAUGACGGAGAAUCAAACGGUCGGCGACGUUGAUCCGAUUUGAAACGGACGGUUGAGAUUUAAUCGGAAGUUUGGCGGGAGAUGGAAACGAAAAGCUUAUCAUCGCCAUUGUUCUCCAAUCUAAACGAUCCGUUACUGUUAAUUAUCAAUAUCACACAAAAUUUACAUUAUAGUCCCUUAAGUUUGUGGAAAUUAUCAAUAAGACACAAAACUAUUAAUUUAUCAAAUUACAUACAUAGUUCAUAAACCCUAAUUUAUAGAUAUCACAAAACCCAGACUUGGAAUCAGUUUCUCUUUACUUCCCUCUUUCUCUGAGCUAUGGAGAUUACUGUAAUCGCUUCUUCCUCAAUCGAUGAAGGAAUUGGAAGUUGGGAUCUCAAAACCGGGACAGAGCAGCUUCAAUUCAAGCCGUGUGCUUCUCCGGCGCAUGGUCUCACCGCCGUCGGCGAAAAAUUUCUCGCCUCCUCUCAGCUCUCGGCGAGAAAUACUUCUGGCUCGAUUUUUUACUGGUCUUGGACUAAGGUCUCAUUCUCAAACUUGAAAUCACUGUUUUUUUGUUCUCUUUGGAUAGAAAGUUUGAAACUUGUUUUGAAUUGUAGCCUCAAGCUGAAGUGAAGAGCUACCCAGUGGAACCAAUAAAGGCUCUUGCAGCAAACAAUGAAGGAACUUACUUAGUUGGUGGUGGAAUCUCUGGAGAUAUUUACCUUUGGGAGGUUGCGACUGGGAAGUUGCUUAAGAAGUGGCAUGGUCAUUAUCGUUCAGUAACAUGUUUGGUGUUCUCUGGAGAUGAUUCUUUGUUGGUUUCUGGAUCUCAAGAUGGGUCUAUUAGAGUUUGGUCUCUUAUAAGGUUAAAACUUUGUGUAUUAUCAUGCUUGUUUUUUUGCAAGGCAUUGUCUUUUAUUCUGAUUCUUUGCUCUUUGUGGUUAGUUAGGCUAUUUGAUGAUUUCCAGAGGCAGCAAGGGAACACUCUUUAUGAACACAAUUUUAAUGAGCAUACAAUGUCUGUAACUGAUAUUGUUAUAGACUAUGGAGGCUGCAAUGCUGUGAUAAUUUCCUCUUCAGAAGAUCGGACUUGCAAGGUACUUAUUUGGAUCACUAAUGUUAUGCAUUUGUUAACUGCAAUGAAAGUUUAGCUCUUGUAUUGUUAAUGAGAUUCAUUUUGAUAUAGCUGAGAAAUAGAACCUGAUAUAGCUUUUUUAUUUGAUGACCUUGGUUGGAUUUGUAAAUCCAUAUAGGUUUGGAGCUUGUCAAGAGGGAAAUUGUUGAAAAAUAUCAUUUUUCCUUCAGUCAUCAAUGCACUCGCAUUGGACCCUGGAGGGUGUGUGUUCUAUGCUGGUGCCAGAGACAGCAAAAUCUAUAUCGGUGCCAUUAAUGCCACAAGUGAAUACGGGACACAAGUUCUUGGUUCAGUAUCUGAAAAAGGGUACUAACCGUUCCCUAUAUUUCAAUCGUUGUCAACAAUCCUAGUCAAUAUUCUUCUUACUUUUAACAUCUUCUAAAUCAUAAUACAUGUAUUUGAACUGGAGCUUGUAGUAAUUCUUGACUAAGAUGGUAUUUAUGAGAUCUUUUAUAUAUUUGAACAUUAGCUAGUAGUAAUCUAUUUGACUGCUGUGGCUGUUUGACUGUCUAAGUUAAUCUCUAUUGAUCAAUAAUUUUUGUCUGAACAGCAAAGCUAUUACUUGCUUAGCAUAUUGUGCAGACGGAAACCUUUUGAUAUCUGGAUCAGAAGAUGGUGUGGUUUGUGUUUGGGAUCCCAAAUCACUUCGCCAUGUUCGUACUCUCAUCCAUGCAAAAGGUAUAUUUGCUAGCACUUUCUUCUGUUUGAGUUUUACUUCUACAAAAUGAAUAAGUCAAUUUAACAACCCUUUCUUGCUUUUCAAACUUUUUUCUUACAGGUUCUAGAAAAGGUCCUGUGAACAAUAUUCAAAUUGUUAGAAAAACGAUUGUUGCUAAUUCCAACAAAACCCAAGUUUCCUGGAAAAGUCGUGGGGCUUUAAUCCCACCGCCUUUGGAAAAAUAUGAAAGACCAGUAGAAGAUACUAUGGAUGGUAUCGUUACGGUUGAUCCGCCGCCAUUUUCUGAUGUUCCUGUUUACUCUUCUUUCCUCAGUGCUGACCUUAUUGACGAGCAAGUUAAAGAACUUCAGGUUUGUGUUUCCUCACUGUCUACAGUAAACAGUUUUGGUAAAAAUGACUCAAAACAUAAUAUUUUCUCGGUUUGUUUGUUGUUUCAGCAACAAGGCUCUGCAGCAACAGAGAUGGAAAUGGAAAGACUGAAACUUGAAUACAAAAGAUCUUUACAGAUGAAUGAACAAUGGCAGAAGAACUAUGAGAAUUUGCUUCAAGUGGUUAUGGAAGAAGAACAAAUCGGUGGUACCAAUUGAAAGCUUUUUAUUGUUGUUUCUACACAUUUUUGGAAUUACAUUAAGAGAUAUUGUCAAGUGGCAUAUGAAGUCGUCACUAAAGAUAUGUUUUAUCAAGAUCCCAAAUUUAGGUAUCAUAGCAUUCUGUAAAGUAGCCCAGCGAUUUGGUAAAGUAGCCAAGCCACUCUAUUGUGGAGAAUCCUGAGAUAAUCCCACAAACGGAGAGACUCUCUUUUUGUGACAGCGGCUUUAAUGCUUCGGAGAGAUUCUUCCCAGUCGUCACAAAGCCGAUGAGGAUCACUUAUCACCGUUGGAUCUACGAUUAGUGUAAUUGUCAUCUUAUUCAUAUAACUUUGACAAUGUAUCGUCAACGCCUAAUCAAAUUGAACAACAAAAAAAAGAUUUACAUUUCAUUAGAUAGACAUAACAAAAGGAAAAAAUAGAACAAUGAAGUUUGUGGAAUCAUCAUUUUAUCAACUUUUAUGAACAAUGAUAAAAAUAAGCAACUUACAUGGGGAUGGCCAUAAGCACUUGAGGCAAAGUAAGUGAUGGGAUGUCCAUAGAAGCUAACUUCUUCAACGGGACCAACCAUGUUCGAAAACGUCAUCGUUGUGUUUGACACCAUUCUGUUUAUUAUACUAGCCGCCACCUGCAAAUUAAUUACAAAUUAGUCAAUAAUCAUCAUAACCAAAGUAGUGUCAACUAUAUCAACUAAAACUAUUUGAUCGUGUUGCUUUUAAUUUUAAUGAAAAUGACAAUAUGUAAUGUACCUCUUCUUAUAUGUAAUAAAUUAUUAUUUUUUCUGAAAUCAAGCUUUCUCGUCUAUACUAAACAUAUAUAAGAUGGGUUAGUUCUUAUUUAAAAUGACCUUGAUUCCAAGCAAUUUGACAAUGAUUCUACAGAAUAUGUAUGUUAGCAUUGCGCCGUAUGAAUUCUUCUUUCGACUGAUGGUCUUCUGAGCUAUUUCAAGAUGUUCCAAUGGGUCAUCGCGUAAUGCGAUAGAAAACGGAAAUACUACAUAGCCGAACCAAUUUCCCCACCUACAUUUAGACCCUUUCUCCAUCAUAUCUGCUAGAUCCUGUUUUAAAACAAAAAUAAAUUUAAAUUUCACUGAUGAUUAAGUACACUUAACUUGUAAUCAAAUAAGUCAUUAACUUUAUGUGAAUUUACCUGGAUUCCAGUUGUUGGUCGUAAGUUUACAAGCAGAGCUGAUCUUAGCCUUAUUCUCUUAGGCAGCUUUUUUUGCUUCCUAUUUUUAGUUUCUUCUUCUCCUAUUAGUUUAUCAUGAAAUUAUUGAAUUGUACACGUUAAUAAUGGGCAAUAUUUAUUAACAUAUAUACAUGAAAAUAGAUAGGAUCGAGUAUAAUUUUAAUUACCGUAUCUUCUCGCAAGGUAUCGCGAGAGACCAGCUUGGGUUACUCCAAGUACAACAUCGUUGAUAGUCUAUCGAACCAAAAUAUAUAAGAUACUCAUAAUCUUCUGUUUUUAAUAUGUACUGUAUAUAUAAAUAUGUAAACGAAGAGAGUCUAAGGAGAAAUCUAACCAUGUUCAUUGCGUUCUUGGUUAGCUUGAUAUCGUCAAGGCUCACAGUACGAUGAACCAAACGCAGCUGUUUACUCUUCGUUGACAGGAAAUCACCUUUGAUGGGUGUCUCGGUGUCCUUAACGAACAAUGUCGUAACAAUAAACUCCAAAGCAUCACAAACCGUGUUUAAACCCAAGAUAACCGCCGUCCAAAUAACCUUAACCAACCACAACAACCGGGAAUCACUUCUUGAACCGGUUGUCAACAGGGAUGACCUUGAUGACGACCGGUACUGGUACGGAAGACUAGGAAGCUCAUCGGGAUUUGAUGUUUUACGCAUACAAGCGAGGACAAGAGACAUGAUUGACAUGCCAUCACCAACCGAGUGAUGGAUCUUUAAAACGGCGACGUUUUCAGCGUCUGAGGUUUUCAAGUCGAGUAGGUGAAGCUCCCAUAACGGCCUCGAGGUGUCCAACGGGAUCUUCAUGAGGUCAGAAACGUAAUCUUCGAGAAAUGCGUUUGAGUUCUCUAUGUUUUGGGGUUUGAUUUUGGGUACGAUGAAGUGAUCCUCGACGACCACGUUUGUCCGAACCCAUCUUUGGUUUUGUCCAUUCUCAUCGGUCACCUUCAAGUAAUUAUAUAUUUUUGGUAAAUGUUAAUUGUUAGGAAUCUUACAAUCAUUUUAUCUAGUAUAUAAAAUAAUUCAGUCAUUGUCACUUAUGGAUUGAACAUUUAGAGUAAGAUUUAUUUAAACACAAUGUAAAUUUGAAAUUUUGAAGGUAGUCGACUUACCAAUUUACUUGAGAAACGAGGAUGCCUGAUAAAACUUUCCUUAAAGCCUCUGAUAAACACACAUGGAUCGAGCUUACUCUUAAAACCAAUCACUGAUAUGAUGUUGCAGUUAAACUCUGGCGCGUGAAACAGACGCGCCGCCGGGCUAAGUGGUUGCUCCUCUUCCUUCUCGUCCCCUGAUAUGUGUGGUCGUGUCUCAAUCUCCAUUAUUUUUUGUUCAAUGUUUCUAUCUCUCAAACUAUAAAGCCUAUCUUUUUAUAGCCCCCAUGCUUAUGCGGUACCAUUUCUUACGUGUAUAACAUGGAAAAUUUAAAUUUACUCUUUUGUUUACUUCUUAGUUACGUUGAAAUUGAAGUAAUCAACAAAUGCGUUGCUCAUACAAAAAGUUAGACAAAGAUAGAAAAAUGCAUAUCAUUACAAUGGCGAACAACUUAACUGCACUAGGCGGAUAUAUAUGAAUAUCAUUGGAGAAAGUAUUUAAAUUUUUUUGCAUUCCACAUUUAGUAAACAAUAUUCUUUUAACCAAUCAUAUCAGUGAACCAAAAAAAAACGUUUCCAUUAGUAGUUUAUCGGUGACAUGAUGCGUUAAUGCAUUUAGUUUUUCAUUCACGUCAUGUACUGACGUACAUAAGUAUUUGUACGUUGAUCGAAAAGUCAAAUAUGAAAACAUGUGACAUGUGUAUUUGAUCGAAAAGAAACAUGUGGUGAAUUUUUACACAAGAAACAACAGCUAUUUUUUUGUUGUUCUCAUCAAUUCUUCAUAUUUUAGUGUUGUUUUGUUCUGAUCAAAUCUUCACAUUCAAGUAUUGCAACGCUACGCGCUUCUCAUGCAUGCAUAGACUGAUAGGCAUACAUAUGGUUUCUAAUUUUAAAUAAAUAAAAACGCAUAUGAAUUGAGAUUUUUUUUUCAACAGUAAUUUUAGGACGUACAGAUACUAAAUAGUUUAAGACGGCAAUACUAAGCGUCAUAACUAAAUUGUGAUCUAAUUGUCGUAAUUAAAAGCAAUCUUGUGACCAAUGGAAUUUUCAUCUUGGUGCAUAUCAAGCCGCAGUGACAAAGUUAUAAGUAUUUAACAAGAUAUAUUCGUGGUCGUGGACUGAUGAAAACACAUUCAUUUCGUAUUUAGUCAAAGAUGAGAAUACAAAUGGAAGAUGAAAUUGUGAAAUCCUAGAAAUAUGGUAUCAAAUUUGUCUGUUUUCAAGUUUUCAUUUAUUUUUUUUUGAUAAUUUUUUUUCUCUAAAUCAAGAAAAAGAAAGGAAAAAAAAAAGCUAAAUCUACUGAGUAGAAGUUCUUUCUUGAACAACAACUUUGAUGCUUCUUAGAGAUUCCUCCCAAUCAUCACAUAGUUUAUGAGGAUCACUAAUGACCGUUGGAUCGACGGUUAAGGAAAUCGUCAACUUGUUCAUAUAACUUUGAAAAUGCAUCGUCAACGCCUGAUAUAGAUGGAACAAUCAAAUCCAAAACUUAGUGACUUAAACGAAAAAUAAAAGAGAAAAAUAAGAUAAAUUAAAAUCUUACAUGGGGAUGACCAUAAACACUUGGGGCUAUGUAAGUAACGGUAUGUCCAUAGAAGCUAAUUUCUUCAACAGGACCAACCAAAUUUGAAAACGACAUCGUUGUGUUUGACAAUGCUCUGUUUAGUACAUUUGCUGCCCUCUGCAUUCAUUCAAAUUUGGUUUAUCGAGUUUUUGUUAGCUGAUUGAAACUUUUGUAUUGGUAUGACUUUUGUUAAUUUUUGAACUAUAUUUAAAGGAGUAGUUAUGUAUAAAGAUUAACCUGAACUCCAAGCGUGUUGAGAAGUAUUUUCCCAACCACGAAUGUAAGAACAGCUUCUAACGAGUUCUUCUUCCUGUCGAUGGUCGACUUGGCUCUUCGGAGAUGUUUCAACGGAUCAUCGCAUAAUGCGAUAGAGAACGGAAAGAUAAUGUAGCCGAUCCAAUUUCCCCAUCUACACUUUGAUCCUUUAGUCAUCAUAUCAGCUAGAUCCUGUUUUUGACCAAAAACAAAACAAAUAAUUAAAAAAUUUGUGAUCGAUUAUAUCCAUAUAUCUACUAUUCUUCUAUAUGAUAAUUAAUUUACCUGGAUUCCAGUAGUCGGUCUUAGGUUUACAAGCAGAGCUGCCCUUAGCCUUAUUCCUUUAGGUAUGUUACUUGAAUUCCUCUUAGACUCUUCUUGUUCUCCUAAUAUAUUUCAUAACAUAUUUAAAAUUCAUGUUAGAGUAAAGUUUAAUGCUCCUUAACAGAAAAAUCAUAAAUAUUUACCGUAUCUUCUCUUCAAAUACUGCGAGAGACCAGCCUGUGAUACUCCAAGUACAACAUCGUUGACAGUCUACUAACACGAAAAUCAAUGAAAGCAAGAUUAAUGAAAUAUCAUAUACGUCACAUCUCUCAAAUGUUGUAAAAAAUUCGACAUGUCAAUAUAAAAUUGAUUACUAACUUAAAAUGUGUGGAGAAUUAUUUUACCAUUUUCAUGGCGUUCUUGAUUAGCUUUAUGUCAUCAAGACUUACGGUACGAUGAACCAUACACAUCCGUUUACCCUUGCUUAACUUGAAAUCGCCUUUGAUUGGUGUUUCAGUAUCCUUAAGGAACAAUGCCGUAGCAAUAAACUCCAAAGCAUCACAAACCGUAUUCAAAACCAACAAAGCUGCCGACCAUAGAACCAUAACUAGCCAAAAGAACCGGGAAUAACAUCUUGAACUGGUUUUUAACGAGGAUGAUCCAGAAGACGGCCGGUUCUGGUAUGGUAGACUCGGGAGCUCAUUGGGGUUUGAUGUUUUACGGGUGCACGCGAGGACUAGAGACAUCAUAGACAUACCGUCGCCUAACGAGUGAUGGAUCCUUAAAACCGCGACGUUUUCAGCGUCCGAGGUUUUCAAGUCGAGUAAAUGAACUUCCCAUAACGGCUUGGAGGUGUCUAACGGGAUCGUAGUGAGGUCGGAGACGUAACUCUCAAGAAAAACGUCUGCGUUUGCGUUCUCUAUGUGUUGUGUUUGGAUUUUUGGAAUGAUGACGUGAUCCUCGACCACCACGUUUGUUCGAACCCAUUUUUGUUCCUGUCUAUUGUUGUUACAAUUGUUCACCUUCAAUAAAAUUUAUGCAUGUUUAUAUCAAAACCAUCGUCAAACAUUGACAAUUUGACUUAGUACAAAAAUCUAUAUAUUUGUGAUCAAAGAUAACAAAGUAAAAAACAAAAACUAAUCACACACUAACAUGUGAAAACUAAAUCUAUUAAGUGUGUGACUCACCAAUUUACUGGAGAAACGAGGAUGUCUCAUCAAAGUUUGCUUAAUUCCUUCGAUAAUCAUAUCAGGUUCGAUCUUGUUCUUUAAACCAACCACCGAAAUGAUGUAGCAGUUAAACUCCGGUGCGUGAAAUAGACGCGCCGCCGGACUAAGCGGUUGCUCCUCCUCUUCUACCUCCUUUUUCACUGUUGUUUCCGCUAUUUGCCCUCGUCUUCGUCGUAUCUUAAUCUCCAUUGUUUGGUUUUUGAUCUUUGUUUUUUUCUCUAGUUCUUUCGACUCAUAAUAUUUAUGUCCAAAAAAAAAACUAAUCUUUUGGAAUGUUUUCUUACUCUUAAUUCUUUUCUUUUUAAAAAAAUAUUUAUUACUCUUUUCGCUCGCAAAUUUUCCAUCAUAUGUGUUACACGUCAAACUUUCCAAUAGUAUUCUUUUCGUUACUAAAUUCACUUCACCAAUAAGUAGCUUUUCUUAUGAUUAAGAAUUUGAUUUUUGGUUUAUUCGGACAUUAUAAAAAAUAGGUUUAAGUAGAACCGAAUUUUAUUUCAAUUUGGUUUGAACAUUCUAGUUUUGGUUUAGAUUCGGGUUCGUUUUUAGAUUAAACGAUUCUAAUGAAAAUAAUAACACUAACGUUAUAUUUUUUUAAAAACUUUUUUUGUAUAUUUAAUGAAAAUCCUAAUUUUUAUGAAUUCUGAUUAAUUUGGAUUUAGUUUGGUUAAUCUAAUGUAGACUUAAUUUAAAAUUAAUCAGAAUUCAUAAAAAAAAAAGGUAGACUUAAUUUGGACGAAUAAAAAAAGAAAAGAUUUGAUUCAAUCUAAUGAGCGGGAGUCUCUUUCUUGCACAGCAGCUUUGAUGCUUUGUAAAGAUUUCUCCCAAUCGUCAAGUAGUCGAUGAGGAUCACUUAUGACCGUUGGAUCUACAGUCAACGAAAUCGUCAUCUGGUUCAUGUAACUCUGGAAAUGCAUCGUCAAUGCCUAAUCAAAGACCAAUGAGAUCGUCAAAACUUAUGCACUUUUACAAGAAAAAGAGUUGAUAAUAAAAGAGUUGAAAAACUUACAUGGGGAUGGCCAUACACACUUGGGGCCAUGUAAGUAAUGGGAUGUCCAUAGAAGCUGAUUUCUUCAAUAGGACCAAUUAAAUUUGAAAAUGACAUCGUAGUGUUUGACAAUGCUCUAUUUAUUAUCUUAGCUGCUACCUGUUUAUAUACAUUUUAAUUUAUAAGAUUGGACAGUACUAUAAGGAAAAACAAAAAUCAAUGCUAUGUUAGGUUUUGGUUUGAUGCCAUAAAAUACUUGAAACUAACCUGAACUCCAAAUGUUUUGAGAAUGAAUUUACCGGCGACGAACGUUAGGGCAGCUUCUAACGAAUUUUUCUUGCGAUCGAUGAUCCUUUUGGCUCUUCGGAGAUGUUGUAACGGAUCGUCGCGUAAUCCGAUAGAAAACGGAAAGACAAUGUAGCCGAUCCAAUUUCCCCAUCUACACGUAGAUCCUUUAGCCAUCAUAUCAGCUAGAUCCUGUUUCAACCAAUUAUUGAAAUUUUAUACCAAUAAAUAUAUUAUAUGAUCGUCGUCAAAACAUAAAUGAAGUGAAAAUUAGGUCAAUGAACUAACCUGGAUUCCAGUGUUGGGUCUUAAGUUAACAAGUAGAGCUGAUCGUAGCCUUAUUCGUUUAGGCAUAUCAGUGGCUUUCCUUUUAGAAUCUUGAUCUUCUCCUACCUUCUUCUUCUUUUCUCCUAUUAAUCACAAGAUUAUUGAAUUGCACUUGUUUAAAAAAACAUGUCUAUGUCAUAUAUAUACACACUUAUUUACCAUAUCUUCUGUCCAAAUAUUGCGAGAGGCCAGCCUGACUGACUCCAAGUACUACAUCGUUGACAGUCUACUAAACCAAAAUAAAUAAUAAUAUCUAAACUGAAAUCAAGCGUUGAUUAUAAACACAAUAUAGUGUUAUAUAGGAAUAUAUCCACAUUAAUAAAAUUUCAUAAACGCAAAAAAAAUUAUUACCAUCUUCAUGGUAUUCUUGAUUAGCUUUAUGUCGUCUAAGCUUACGGUACGAUGGACCAAACACAUCCGUUUACUCUUACUAAACCGGAAAUCGCCUUUGAUCGGUGUUUCAGUGUCCUUAAGGAACAUUGUUGUAGCAAUAAACUCCAAAGCAUCGCAAACCGUAUUCAAAACCAACAUAAUCGCCGACCAUAUAACCAUAACUAACCAUAAGAACCUGGAAUCACCUCUUGAACCGGCCAUUAGCCUGGAAGAUCUAGACGACGACCGGUUCUGGUUCGGCAGACUCGGGAGCUCGUCAGGGUUUGAUGUUUUACGCAUACAUGCAAGGACAAGGGCCAUGAGAGACAUACCGUCUCCUAAAGAGUGAUGAAACUUCAAAACGGCAACGUUUUCGGCGUCUGAGGUUUUUAGAUCGAGUAGGUGAAGCUGCCAUAAUGGCUUCGAGAUGUCUAAAGGGACCGUCGUGAGGUUCGAGACGUAGGUCUCAAGAAACGCGUCUGCGUUUCCGUUCUCUAUGUUUUGCGUUUGGAUGUCGGAUACAAUGACGUGAUCGGUAACGACCACGUUUGUCCGAACCCAACUUUGUGUUUGUCUUUUCUUGUUCCCAACGGAUGUGCUCACCUUCAAGUUUUAUUAAAAAUAAAUGUUAAAAUUAAUGGUAAGAAGCUCAAAAGUAAGAUAUACAAAAUUAGACAAAAAUGUACAUAUAUGAAGAACACUUUUUCUUUCUUUGACAACAUAUUUAUAGGGACAAGUACGUAAAUAUAAGUGGUCAAGAGAAAAACGAUAGAGAUAUGUUAGGACUAAGAUUAAAACAAACAGCUAUUCAAUAUACAUGAGCAAAAUCCUUUGUAUGUACGAUCUUUUGAUUAGCUACUUUCAAAUGAUAAAUAAUAAUUUUUGCUAGUUUUAGGAAAUAUACUUAAAUAAUUUUAUCAUUUGGGUGGAAUAUUUUUGUACUAUAUUCUGCUAGAUUUUUAUAACAAAAAAGUAAAACUAAUCAUUCUCCCAUUUUUGGAAUGAAAUCCGAAAGAAUUAUACAUUUCAUUGACCAAAAAUAUUUCACUGAUCUUUGGAUUUCUUUCUUCUUACUAUUUUCUAAUUCUAAAUUGUUUCUUUUUUUCAAUGUUUGAUAAUUUUCGAAAACGAAGAUAAAAACAAUGUUUGUUUCUUUAAUUUCUGAAAAUGAAAUAGCCGGCAAAUAAAAAUAAACUUUUGAAAAUGAAAAUAAAAGCAAAUAUACAGAGUGGCUUAUGCUCAACUAUUGUGAUUUGUGAACUGUGUGAUAUUGUAGCAAAAUUAGAAAAAGAACCGCCCUAAAGAUUAUUGGUCAAAGAAACACGUCCAGUUCUCGACGAUCACGCAACAACACCCAGAAAAGUCAAUGAAACCAUAAAUACAUCAAAGAGUUGAAAACAUUAAUCUAUGUUUUAUACAUACGAGUUGAUAUUUUUUUUAAUACAUAUAACUAUAUAAUAUUUAACCAUGUUGUAUUCAUAUGUACGAGUUAAUUUGGACUCACCAUUUUACUGGAGAAACGAGGAUGUCUGAUCAAAGUUUGCUUUAAUCCUUCGAUGAUCACAUCUGGAUCGAUCUUCUUCUUGAUUCCAAUAACAGAGAUGACGUAGCAGUUAAACUCCGGUGCGUGAAACACACGCGCCGCCGGACUAAGCGGUUGCUCCUCCUCAACUUCUUCCUCGUCGUCUUUCCUCACGGAUGUUUCUGAUGUAUCUCGUCGUGUCUUAAUCUCCAUGGUUUGCUGCUUAGUCUUUCUCUUUUAUUUUCUUUCUCUCUUUCUUAAACUUUUAAUAUUCGCUUUCUUGAUAUAUAGCCUCCAAUUGUUCUAUGCCACUUUCUUCUUUAUAUAACUUUUUGGAUGUGUUGGAUUAUAUCUAACCGAAAAAAUUAGUAACUCGGACCCACAAUCUUCACAUAACGCAAUAAUGGACAAAACGUUUAGUAAUAUUAAAGUUUGAUAGUAAUAAACUAAUAAUUAUAUCUUAUGACAAAAUCUUUAUAAUUCUAUUGUUUACUUAGAUUAUUUAAGAGUUAAUUAACACAAAUCUAUUUCAUAUUUCAGUUAUCAUUAUUUUUCAAAAUUUACUACUUUUGCUAUGUUAAAAAUUCUACUAAAUUCAUAUAAUAUUGAAAUCAAUAUUUAAAAGAGUUUUUACAACAAAAAAAAACAUCAAAAUCGUCCAUUUUUACAACUUUACUUUUCACGUCAAUAAAAUUCAAAAUAAACCUAUAAAAUCCAAAAUAAUAUGUAAUUUAGCCACUUUUCGUUAUUGGUAAAUUUUAAAAUUUGAUAAUCAUAUAUCAAAUCGAAACCCUCGAAAUGAUGAGUUCAACUAUAUCUUUAAAAUUUUCAAACACAGAUAUAUAUAAUCGUGAGAACGAUUACAAUAUAUGUAAAGUUACAAAAAUGGACUAUAUAUCAUAUUAUUUUAGAGUUCAUAAAAUUAUUUUAUAUAUUUUGAAUGUAAAAAGUAAAAUUACAAAAACAAACGACGUUACGGUAUUUUUGCACAAAACCUUAUUUAUAAUUAUACUUUUUUUUUUAGUAUAGCAUUUUGGUUUACUCCCACUUUAAAAAAAAACACAAUGAUCAACUUGAUGAUUCAUCGAUAUCUAAACCCAACUUCUUUUACAAAAUACGAUGAAGAUUAUUAAAUUUAGAAAUAUUUUAUUAUUUUUUUUACUCAAAAUCAUACUUCAAUGUAUAAGAAUACUAAGAACCGUACAAUAAUUUGCCCUUUCUACCAAUAUUGUUAACCAUGAGGGGUAGAAAGUACAAAAUAGAGAGUACAAGUGGUUUGCAAAUGUAACAAUUAAAUCAGCACAUUCAUUUUCUUGUCUUCCAUUAAACCAAAAAGAUGGUUUUAAGUGUCCGCUUCAAAAGUCUAGAUUCUUAUUUAAAUAGCUCUUCAUCCGCGACCACGCAAAUAAAUACCCAAAAUUUACUUCUGGAAUCCCUAAAUUAACAAGACAAGAUGAACUUACUGAAAAUUUUAAAAUAUUAGGCACGAGAAAAUUGGUAGUUAAACUUAAUGUAGAAAAAAAAAUAAGAUGCUGAGAAAAGAAUUUAAUAUUUUUUCUAGUGUUAGUUUAUGUAGAACAAAAAUAAAAUGCCAGUUAUUUUCUAAUAAAUAAUAAAAGAAAGACGAAGACACAUUCAUUUCAAUAUCUAAUUAUGGUUUAUUGGUCAAUUUGCUGGUUGGCUGACGACAGAUAUACAAUUUUAACUAGUAAAUUAUGAAUUACUCCCGUGAUGGAGUAUAAUGUAUAGUUCUGAUAAUAAUACGACCGUUACACAGAAGAAAAAAUAACCCACAAAAUUGACAACGUCGAUAAUAUCCUGUUGUCUAGAAUUGACAACGUCGACAAUUGGCAACUGUGUGGACAUAUAUUAAUAACAAUAACAGCAAGAAGAUAAAUUCAUGGUCUAACACGGCACGGUGCCAGUGACGUGACGACCACAAAUCAAUAAUAACAUUCGCCAUAUAAACCAGUUCAUCGACGUUUAGUCGUUUACCCACCAUAUAUCAGCACCGCCUUUAUAUUUCACAACCAUAUAUAUUUAGUUUACAUUUAUGUAUAGUUUUUCUCUCUGUUUUUUUUUUUUAUAAAAUAGUUUUCUCUAUGUUAUAUAAUACAAAUUUCUUGAAUUAGGGUGCAAUAAACGACGUUAUACGUUCCUAGUAAAAUAUGGAUAAAAGGAAAGUAAGUUGAUAAAGCCAUACCCUUUCAAAAUGUUUAAAUACGUGUUUCUCAGUUUUAUCUACUGAUUUAGGUUUUAUUAGUAUUUCUAUUUACUAGCAAGUUGAUAUGGGUUUCACUGUUAUGUUUUUGAUGGGACAUUAUCAUUUUAGAGAAGUUUUAGCAUGUUCAAUGGUAUGGCCCUGAGAGAGUCUCUUUUAAAUUUUAUACUAAUAAAUUUUGUGAAUUUGUAUAGUUUAGAGAUUAUGAUGGGUCCUUAUAUUUUUUGGUGUCUAAUAGUGGAAUCUUAAAUUGGGUCUCUUUGAGAAAAAAAAUGUUGAAGAUCAAUUGAUUUGAGAGAGAUCAGAAGAAAAACAGAGAAGAGCAGCUCGAGAAAGAGAUGGGAAAGGGAAAAAAAAAUUGUUUUCUCAAACUCACGACCAAUCAGGCCGUGACACGUCAAGUCCCUUUAGUUUCACAAAAACCUCUUAAUUUAGGAACGUUUUGAUUUAAUUUUGGGUUUUUAUGGGAAGAGUCUUUUGCUGUAGAGCUCUUUAAAGCUCUCCAUUGGACCUGCUCUAUUAUAGUUUUGUGUUCUGCCCCUUCACUCUUUAUUUUAGCGAUUUUAGCGAUCACUAAAUAAUUUUUCCUUUCGACGUGGAAGUUUCUCUCAUUAACAUGAACUUUACAAUGUUUUUAUUAGGGGUGUCAAAAUAGGUCAAAAUUCAUGGGUCAACUCAACUCAACUCAACUCAUGAACUCUAAUGAGUUAGAAAAUUUUGACUCAAAUGAGUUGAUGGGUCAAAUGAGUUAUUGGGUCAAUUGGUUUGAUGGGUAAAAUGAGUUGGGUUGUAAUGGUUAAUGGUUUCAAUGGUUUAUCCAAUUAACCCAUCAAGUUUUGUAAAUUGAAUUAAACCAACUAAAAUCUUUAAACCAAUGUCAAUUUAAGUUUAACCAACACAUCUAAACCAAUUUAAUAAAACAUUAUUUUUCCAAAUUUCUUAAAUAUACAAGCGAUGAAAUUGAGAAAAAGUAAACUCGUAAUUUUUCCACAAAAAACAUAAACCCGUGAUUUUUCCGCCAAAAACGUAAACCCGUGAUUUUCCCGCCAAUAACGUAAACCCGUCAUUUUCCCGCCAAAAAUGAAAACCUUUGAUUUUUCCGCCAAAAACGUAAACCCGUGAUUUUCCCGCCAAAAACGUAAAUCCGUGAUUAUCCCGUCAAAAACGUAAACCCGUGAUUUUCCCGCCAAAAACACUAUCCUAAGUUUGAUGAUAGUGAAUUAAUAAUUAUUAAUAAUGAUAAUUAUUUAUUAUUAUUUUAUAAUAAUAAUGAAUUAAAUUAUUACUUAAAUGGGUUAACCCAUUUAACAACUCAACCCAUCAAAUUAAAUGAGUUAUGGAUCAACCCAUAACUCAUUUAACCAUUUUGACACUUCUAGUUUUUAUCUUUCCUACCCGUGGACAAAAAUCUAUUAGGAUAAUAUUGAUAUUGGAGGAUAGAAACAUGGGCAUUGAUGAUGAUCUGUUAAAGCUUCAUGUGCUAAUAAAAAUAUGAUACAACUUAGUUUCAUUAGAAAUCUAAUCUAUGUAUUUUAAUUAAAAUAUUAUAUAUUUUUUGUUAAAUUAGUCAUUACUCUUAAUGUUCCUUUAAACCCGUCCCUUAAAUUAGGAGUCGAGCUCUCUUUUUCUCUUUUUCUUGGUGCUUUUUAGGAACAUGUCUCUCAAGUCUCAACGACUCUUGCCCCUUUUCACGAACUAUCUACCAAUUUUUUAACGAACCAGACAAAACUAGUAGUAUAUUGUUCCCAUUCUGUUGUAUCAGUUGACAUGUGGAACUCCAAACUUUUAUUAUACUUGGGUUUGAAUUAUUUCUUUGUGUUUUGUAUGUAUUUAUCAAAUGUGUUUAUAUAUAUAACAAUCAUGUGUCUUCUACUCUUCUAUUAUUAUUAAUUUCUUUCUCUUUUGACAUCUUCAACCGACUCGGUGUCGAUUACAAAACUGAAAGAAACAGAACAAAAACCAACAACUAAAAAACAGAGGACAAGAAUAAAGUUGAGCUUCCACCACCACCCGAUUUGUAAACGCAAAAACUAUUAUUUGAAUAAUAGAAAGUCUAGUUUUGAAAAUUAAAAAGUAAAUUUUAGGAAACUUUUGUUCCAUAAAUGUUUUUUGUAUUUUCUUUGCAAUUUUUUGCAUAGUAUUUUCUCUAUAAAUGAAGAAAGGAAAAAGCACUUCUUACACAUUUAAGCCAAUUGGAGCUACCAGAGAUUGGAAGGAGAUUUGUGAAAUUUUCUUUAGUGAUAUUUGUUUCGACGCCGAUGAAACACAAUGAGAAAAGGCAGUACGAACAGAAGUAAGAAAAUCACUCACUCAAAAGCUUUUUUUUUUUUUUUGGGUUAAUUCUCUCACUCAAAAGCUUAUGUAGUGUUCUUCGUACUCGAUGUCAAUGUACCACAAAAUUAUAGUAUUGCUGAUUUUCAGUAGUAGUGGUCCGAAAUUAAAGUUAGGCCCGUUUAAUAUCUUAGCCCAUACUUUUGUGGAAAGUGAUCGUAGAUUCGUAGCCCAUUCUGUAUAACCAAAAAAGUUAUUCUCUAUCAAAUGAACAAGGUCUUUUAAGUUGCCUCUGCUAGGCGUACUCAUCCGGUUCGGAUUCAAAUAGGAUAUCGUGGAUUUUGAGUCCUUUAGUUUCGAGUUUCGACUAUCAAGAGUCGAGGUAUCUUCCCAGUAUUUUAAUUUGGGUGACAUUUAGUACUCUUUAAGUUUGGGUCAGUUCGGAUAGUUGACACAAAAUAAAUUUCUUAUUUUUACUUUAAUGAUAACACAUAAUCAAAACAUUAUUUUUAAAAUCAUGCUUUAUAAUAUAUAAAGAAUACUAUGCUAUAAUUUUCUAUAGUUAAUUCUAACUAACAAAAAAGAAAGAAAAAAACUAUUUUUAUUUUAAAAGUGAAAUUUGCCACAUUUUUUUUUUGUGUGGCUGCUGUUUUAAUAUCGAUUUGAUACUAUUUUUGGUAAAAGAAUCACCAAGUUACUGAGUCAAAUCAUUAUGUAAAGUACUAUUUUUGUCUGUGUGUUACAAGUUGUGAGAUCUAGGUUGUUCUGUUUCUCAUACAGUCCACAACCAAAUCACAUGGAAUGUCUCUCCAUCAUCAUUAUUUUCGCCAUCACUAUUAUCAUUUUUUGUUAAAUAAUGUCUUUGCAUUAUACGUUUCCUUCCUUGUUACCAAGAAAAUAAAAAUUGCCACAUGAAUUAGUAUCAUAUAACAAGACAUAAUUUAAGGAUUAGAACGAACCCUGUAUAUAGUAUAGCUGGAUACUAUUUAUGAUGUAUCCCGUGGAUAUAUGUAUAUAGUAUGUAUGCAUGCAUAAAGCUAUGGUAAAGGUUCAUUGACCUCAAUGAAAAGUUUGAUUUAUUCGGUAUUUCAAUUAUAUUCGAUUCUGUGAACGAUUCACAACUCUAUGUUUAAAGCAUCUACUUUAUGUUUUAUAAAAAGAUGACUCGACCACUUUUCGUUUGCUUAACCCCGAAUCAUAAGGUAUAAAAGUACUCUAAGAAUAAACGAAAUACAAAAAAACUACUGCAUUCAACGUUUUAUCCAAAAAGAAGUCCUAUAUUCAUCUCUACGAAUUUCUUAAGUUAAAAAUGUAACAUGCGAAUGUCAUAUAAUACUAGAUCGCCUAACGGAAAUUGUAUUAAAAAAAAGGGUGAUUUGCAGAUAUAGCACUUUUUCAAGUAUAAAGAAAAAAUGGUGAUAUGUGAGGAUAUUUAACUAAUCACUAGUAUAAUGAAGCAUAUCCAUAUCAACAUAUAAUACUACUAUACUAGAUCAAAUCCUUAAUAGAAAAAUCGUAGUCGAUAAAAAAGCAAGUUUAGAUCAAGGUGAAGUCAUGGUUAAUUUAUAUGGGAGGAUAUUGAACUAAUCACUAAUGUAUAAUUAAUCUUUAAAAGAAAUAUGAAAUUAGGUCGCGAUAAAGUGAGGAGCCAAAAAACACAAACACUUUGGUGAUGGGUUUCGAUUGAUGACAAAGCAUCAACUUCUUAUGUACUAAAAUUCCAUGUACAGAAUUAUUGAAUAAGCACAGAAACAGUAUCAUAUAUAUGGAUAAUAAUGAUAUUGAUUAUCAAUUUAAAAUAUAGAAUUUAAUUAAGAGAUUUUACUCUAUUUUAUAUAUAAUCAAUCGUGUUUGCUAGUUAUACUCUUAAAUACUAAAAAUUGUAUCAAAAAUAACAAGUUAAAAAAAAAACAGGAGCGUGCGCCUAGCCCGCAAAAUCCACAAUCUUAGAACAAGGUGGAUAAUAAGGUUUGGUUUUUCUAAAACCACGGUUCAUAACGAGUGUCCACUAGAAUCCAAAAAAAAAAAAAAACUAAUUUCGUCGUAGAACAAAAAAAAAUAGUGAGACAAGACCGAUUUGAAACAUGUAAUGAUGUAAUACAUAUGAUGAUUUUAUAUCUAUAGAAUGAAGAAUUUUAAGCUUUAGUUUAUUCUAGAAGACGUUUAUUUUGUUAAUGGUUGCUUCAGAUGUAAAUUUAUAUAAGAUCAUUUUGGUAGGUAUUUACUCUAUAGUCUAUAGUAAUAUACACUCUACAAACUGGCCCUUUUGGCACUCAUGUAUAAACACGAGUAUUUAAUUUUCACAUUAGUAGACACGGUCCUGCUUCAAUAAAUCUAUUUUGACAUUAGUUCUUAACCUCAUUGUUGUAAUUAUUUACAAACGAGAUUAAAACAAAACACAUGGACAUUUUUGGAUAAUAAUAUUUCUCAACAUAUUGUUCUAGCUUUGAUCGUUGCCAAUAGAUCAACAUAUUUGUUACUCUCGAUAAUCACUUAAGCCCAACUCAUGUGGUUUUAAUGUAAUGGUGAAGUGUUUCCUUUCAAGGUGUAGUGUAGCUUCAAAUUGCACAUACUAGAAUCCCAAAGAUUAAUGCACUAAAUUCAACCUCUUCUGCAUCAACUCCAUUUGAAGUCUGUAUAAUCCAUCCAAAACAAUCAUAUCUUGCGCUGUCCAUAUCCAAAAUUAUGUGAAGCGUCAUAAUUACACUUCAUCCACCCUUCUGUCGGCAUCCUCCAUGGCAUUGAUCUGGAGCUUCAUAAACACAUUUGGUUUGUAUUAAAUAUUUAUGAAAAUCCAUAGUCAGUCACACGGAUAGUGAGGUAGAAAUUUAGAGAGAUCAUCUUAUGAAUCUUUUUAUUUAAGCAACAAGCUUUUAUCCGUGUUAGUGUUACUUUUUAUCAUUUCUUUUGGAACAACCUAUAGUAUUUAAUUUAUUCAGAGCGUUCUUAAGAAUUUGUUUGAUAAAUAUAUUCACGUAGUUUCGACUACGUAUAGAAACUUUAUAGCAAAAUGAAUGUUGUGCGUACGUACAUUGUUUCUAUGGUAGAUAAGUAUAAUUCCAGAAAGAGUUAAUGAGGAAGAAUUUUAUUACUGUGGCAUAGGAUGAAUUAAAUUGAUCUAUAUAAAUUUUAUGUUACAACUUACAAACAAUUUUCACAUGGAUUUAUAAAGAAGCCGCUAUAAAUAAAAACGAUUGUAGUUUAGUUUUGGGGUAUUCGAAUAAAUAAGAAACUUACUCCUUAAGUUAGCAACUUUUUAAUACUAAAAGAGAAAAGAGAUACAGAACUUUCCAAAAAAUUAUUGAACAUGUUCUGAUACUUCACUAACCAUAUUGAAACAGAUGGCAUAAUCACUUUAAUUAUACAACACACACAUCUUAUCUAUAUAUGUUACAUCUAUUAUAAUAAUUAAACCAGAUUUAAUAUAAAUCCAGCUAUUUAAAAUUAUGCCACAGUUUGAAAAGAAAAAAUAAACAACGUGAGAUGUCUAUGUAAUUAGAAACAAUGGGGGUCUUUUCUAGUCGCAUUCUGGCAUUCGUUGAGUCGAUUUUUUUUCUUUGUUAGGUUGAUGUUGGAACAACAGAUAGAUUUAUUUAUUAUAAAAAAAAAAAUACAAUGUAUGAUUUAAUUAAUUGCUGUGAACUGUUUAAGUGUUUCUAACUAUUACGGAAUAGUCUUAAAAGAAUAAUGCGACUAGUUUAUAUAGAGUUUUCCUAUCAUUUCAUCAAGUUUAAUCUUUGGUUGGUAAGUGCCAGCUCAUGUUCUUUAAUAGCCACAUUGCACACAUAUAAAUUGAAACAGUUUCUAGAUUUCUACGUAAAUGUUUUAAAUAUGACAAAAAUUUACUAUAUGUUUCGAAUCGAAAUAAUCUAGCGUAGUAGUAUUCAUAACUACCAUCUACCACCAACAUUAUUUUGAUACUGUAAUGUUUGCUUUUAAUAAACUGUCGAAAUAGAAAGGCGCAAUUAGUUGUAUGUAGAGUAACUUAAUAGUCUACUCAUCUCUAAACAAAUGUGAAAAGACUUUUUUCUCGAUCAAGUCGACGAAUAACAAACAAAUACGAUAGAUUUUUUAAAAAUUAAACUUUUCGAAAUCAUAAUACGUGUAUUUUUAGGGAAUUUUCUCUUCUUUUUUUCUUUCUAAUUCAUGUCGACGAAUAACAAAAGCUCACCAUCAAACGAAGAAUAAUAACACAAACAAUUAGAACUAGAACAAAAGAAAAUGAUAAAGCAAUUUUAUUCUCAUGUAAAAAUGACAUAAUUCAAUGACGCGUGUCCCACCAAUUAUCACCACUCACUCUCCAUAUAUACUUCACAUACAAUCUUUCACUCAUAUAUAUACCACACAGUCACACAUUCUUUAUAAUGUAAAUCAAAAGAGAACUAAACCAAGAAACAAAAUGGGAUACGAAAGGCUCGGACCAUCCGGAGCAACUGGUUCGGUCACCACCUCCACUACUACAGCUCCAAUCCUUAACCAAGUCUCCACGUCAGAGCAACCGGAGAACAACAACCGAAGAAGCAAAAAGAAGCUUGUCGUAUCAUCAAUCGUCUUAGCCAUCUCACUUAUCCUCGCCGCCGCGAUCUUCGCCGGAGUCAGAUCACGUCUCAAGUUAAACCAAUCAGUCCCAGGCCUAGCUCGUAAACCGAGUCAAGCAAUCUCUAAAGCUUGUGAGUUAACUCGUUUCCCCGAGUUAUGCGUUGACUCACUCAUGGACUUUCCCGGCUCACUCGCCGCUUCCUCCUCUAAAGAUCUCAUCCACGUGACUGUGAACAUGACGCUCCACCACUUCAGCCACGCUCUCUACUCCUCUGCUUCCCUCUCCUUCGUCGACAUGCCGCCACGUGCUCGCUCAGCUUACGACUCUUGCGUCGAGCUACUUGACGAUUCCGUUGACGCGCUAUCACGCGCUCUUUCCUCCGUCGUAUCCUCCUCCGCUAAGCCGCAAGAUGUUACAACGUGGCUUAGCGCGGCUUUAACAAACCAUGACACGUGUACUGAAGGAUUCGACGGCGUCGACGACGGUGGAGUGAAGGAUCAUAUGACGGCGGCGUUACAGAAUCUUUCUGAGCUUGUUAGUAACUGUCUUGCUAUAUUCUCGGCGAGUCACGACGGUGACGAUUUCGCCGGAGUUCCAAUACAGAACAGGAGGCUGCUGGGAGUGGAGGAACGAGAAGAGAAAUUCCCGAGAUGGAUGAGACCAAAAGAACGCGAGAUACUGGAAAUGCCGGUAUCUCAGAUACAAGCUGAUAUUAUCGUAUCGAAAGACGGUAACGGCACGUGCAAAACUAUAUCGGAAGCUAUCAAGAAAGCUCCUCAGAACAGUACUCGCCGGAUAAUUAUCUACGUCAAGGCCGGAAGGUAAAAUGACUGUUUUACCCUUCGUAUUAAUCGAUGUUUUUAACUGUUAUGUCCGUGAGACGAAAGUGAAAACUAAAAACCUGUACGGAGGUUUAAUAAUUGCGUAUCUCUGACUGUGUCUGUGAUCUCUUUUUUUUUUUUUUUUUUGGAAAGAUAUGAAGAGAACAACCUCAAGGUCGGUAGGAAAAAAAUUAAUUUGAUGUUCGUUGGAGAUGGCAAGGGUAAAACUGUUAUUUCGGGAGGCAAAAGUAUAUUUGACAACAUCACUACUUUCCACACGGCGUCAUUUGGUGAGUUUUUCCUAACCUCACUCUUCCUUUUUUAGUUUUUACUAUACUACUUUUUUCACUUUUUGAACUCUUUUGCAAUAAUACAACAAUCAUGAUAAAUAGUUAAAAGCAAAACACGUAUUAAUGCAAUGAAACAUGUACAAGAAUUAUAAAUUGAUACACUAAUCUUUUCGGUGGUCGAAAAUCAGAAGCGUUUUUUAGUGAUAUAAUAGAAAAGUUAAAAGAUCUUUUUGUGUUAAUUAAAAUCUUAAAAAGGAGCUAUGAGGGUCAACAUUUAUGAUAUAAUAAAUGUCGUUUUUCUAUAGAUUUAAUAUAAACUAUUUGUUGUACAUAUUUGUUACUGAAAAAGGUAUUGAUAUAAAUAAGUUAAGAAGGAAAAAUAUAUAUACUUUGAGGAGAAUUAUUGGAAUCAGAUACGUGAAGGGGGCCAUGAGCUAGGCUGUCUAUAGAUUUCGGAGUGAUAGGGUUUUAAAAAAGUGUCCAAUAGAUUCUCCUAUAGUCAGAAAUUUUUACGAAUAUUAGUUGUCUUUCACCACUUGUGUGUGUGUUGUGUUUUUUUUUGAUAAAAGAUUUAACACCACUUGUUUUUAUUCUUCAUAUGGAUUAUGGACCACUAAAGAAAGCUAUAUUUAAGUAAACCUUGUAAAUAGUAGUAGUAUGUACUCGAACCAGUAAACAAAGUCAAUAUUAUAGACCACUAAAUUUCUAAACUGUGAAUUUUUUUCUUUCUUUUGUGUUUUUUGGUAUUUUCUCAAACUUUUUUGCCAAGGCACUCAGUAGUCGUUUUAAUAAAAAAAAAAUUGGGGGUCAGAAUUUUUGUUUAAUGAUUUUUUUCAAAGAAACAUGUUUUAGAACAAACGUCAUUCACCCGUUUUCUACUACUUCAACUCAGGAACCUUCUCAUGGCAGACUAACUUUAAAUUAAUUUUGACCAACUUUUUCUUGCUCAUGCUGAAUUAAGACCUAAUCACCUAAGUUGUAGUUCUUACGUAAGUUUACGUGUUUGUUUAGUUUAAGAGAAAAACACGAUCUAAAAAUUCCAAUUCUCAUAUAAAAGUAUCAUAAAAUUUUGCAGCAGAAACCUUAUUAUAUAUAACCAACUUUUUGUAUAUCCUUUUUUCAGUUUUGAUCUUCAACUCAGUUAUGUAGAAACUUAAAUUUGAACUGAUCUUUAUGCUUUUUCGAUAACUAUAUAGUACUCCAACUUUAUUUAUUGGAAUAUUGACUUUUCCAUAGGACUAUGUACGUUCGAAUUCGGUUAGGUAACACACUUACACUGAAUUGGACAUCCUAUGUGAUGCUGCCGCUUAUCCAACCAAACUCACAUGCAUGUUGUUGUGAUUUUUAAUGUUCAUUAAAUGCACAAAACUCAAAUCAAAUCGAAAACAUAAAACAUUCUUUUGAUCAAACAAAGUUUAUAUACUUCUUUACCUUCAUCUAAUAUUCAUUCCUCACAUCCACUUAUGUAACAUAGUAAAUGCAUGCUCCACAUAUGUAUAAACAAAUAUACAUACAGACACGCACACAUGGAAAAUGCAUACACAUAUAAAAGAAUAUGAACGUAUCGUAAGGUUCGAAGUAGGCCGCGCAAUUACUGACCACACAUAUUUGUAUAUAUAUAAACAUGCAUGAUAGGAGACAGAGAAUAGUAGCAUUUAUUUACAUAUAUAAGUUGGAGGUGGGUCAUAGCUCAUUAUUUAGUUGAACGCGUUAUAGACCACUUGUAUACAACAUUUCUAUAGGUAACGACAUUUCUCACAUACUAGUUUUUUUUUUAAGUUUAAUUAUAUAUAAAGUUAGUUGAAUUAGUAAAUACAAAACAUAAUUGUGUGUUAAUUUCUUGCUUUAAUUUUUCCAGCUGCGACCGGAGCUGGAUUUAUUGCAAGGGACAUCACAUUCGAAAACUGGGCCGGUCCAGCGAAGCACCAAGCCGUGGCUCUCCGCAUCGGAGCUGACCACGCAGUGAUCUACCGAUGCAAUAUAAUCGGUUACCAAGACACACUCUACGUCCAUUCAAACCGCCAAUUCUUUCGUGAAUGCGAUAUCUACGGUACAGUCGAUUUUAUCUUUGGUAACGCAGCCGUCGUACUACAAAACUGUAGCAUCUACGCACGGAAGCCAAUGGAUUUUCAGAAAAAUACAAUCACGGCUCAAAACAGAAAAGAUCCGAACCAAAACACCGGAAUAUCAAUACAUGCGUCUAGGGUUCUUGCAGCAUCCGAUCUCCAAGCGACAAACGGUAGUACACAGACGUAUCUAGGCCGACCUUGGAAGCUAUUCUCUAGGACAGUGUAUAUGAUGUCGUAUAUCGGUGGUCAUGUACACACGAGAGGUUGGCUCGAGUGGAACACAACAUUUGCUUUAGAUACUUUGUAUUAUGGAGAGUAUUUGAACAGUGGACCUGGGUCGGGUCUCGGGCAACGUGUGAGCUGGCCGGGUUAUCGGGUCAUCAAUUCGACGGCCGAGGCAAACCGGUUCACUGUGGCAGAAUUUAUAUACGGUUCCUCGUGGUUGCCAUCGACCGGAGUUUCGUUCUUGGCCGGAUUAAGCAUAUAGGUAGAGAAAAAAUUGAAAUGCUUAUUUUUCCGAUGAAUUGUUUCAUUCUUACGGUCCUUAUAUUAAUGGACAUAUCAGUAUUCCAAUAUAUAUGAGUAUAUUUUAACUUUUAAUUGUAAUGUCUCCACUCUCCAGAGGUAUUAUUUAAUAAUAGAUGAACACUCGAGGAUAAUUUUCCCUUGUUUUCUUGACAGUGAAGAAGUAAUUAUUGACUGAUGUGUGAUAUAUAUGCCAUGCAUAAAAAGUUAAACUAGUUUGAUUAAACGUAACUUAUAUGCUUCUUUUGUGUGUCAAAAGAAGGGCUAAAAGUCCAGACUCAAGCAACAUUAUUGUGUUUAACCGACUAAAUGUUUCGAAAAUUAUUGGAUUUUUUUUUGUAUUCACACAUUUUAAUGUUGGAUACAAAAUAAUUCAAACAUUCAAAAAACAAAUAUGAAUUGGAUGUGUCGGUGAUGAGUGGUGAGAGCCGGAGAGAGGAGCUCAUGUGAUUGAAGUCCAUAGGUCACGGCCCACGACCGACACUCACUGUGGGGGCCACGAUUUUGGGAACUCAUAUGUUCCAGUCAUGUUCGACUUAACAAAGAAUACCAAACAUCAUUUUCGUCACUUUCCAAUUAAAAUGCUUUCUUACGUUAUACAUUACUAUAAUUUAUCAUUCAUUAAAACUUAAAAUUGAUGCAAAUUCAGAUUAUAUUUUCAUUACACCAAAGGUCCAAAUAUAUAAUACACAAAUGCAAAUGCUAAGUCGCAUACUCGCAUGUCAAGUGACACCCAGGCGGACAUGGCUGUUUUUGGGUUUUUGCGGAUAGACGGUCACUUGGUUCAUCACUUGCGAGAUGGACUCGUGCUGCAAUAUACUUCGACUCUCUACCAUUCUAUUUUUAGGUAAUGUUAUUUCUACAACCUUUAAAGUUAGGAAUAAUUUAAUUGUUAUUACUAUAUAGUAGAAGUAUAUUUCCAAAAUUCCAAAGACUGUAUAGAAUCGAUCAAAUUAAUCUCAGAUACCAAGCCAGAUAGAUUAACAAAUUACUUACCAGAAUAUAUAACAAGGAGGGAAAGAAAAGUGAAUAUGUUCAAAAAAACUAUUCAUUUUCACGGAGACCUUUUGUUCUACCUACGGAUAUAUAUUGGCUAACUUUUUUUUGGUAAAAAGUUAAAUUUUAUACCAAUUUUCUAAUUUUUUCUCUACAAUGCUGAAACAGCUUAUUUAAAAAAGCAACAAUUAGAAAGGGAAGGAGAUACAACCAAAGUAGAAACUAAGAAGAGAAAUAGAAGAAGAAGGAGGACCAGGGAAGGAUAGAAGGCGGUCUCUAACGGUGCGGUCCACGGCAGCCUUAGUCACAGAAGCCGAAGUGGAGAUGUUGGUGAAGAUCCUUGCAUUUCGUUCGCGCCAAAUGAGAUAGCACGCAACCUGAGCGAUGAGCUUGAUGAUGACAGAAGAGAGAGUUUGAGGUUGGAGCUUGCGCUGUAAAAUCUAAGAUGAGACUGAGAGAAGAUCCAAGGGUGGCAAGCGCCAAACUUUAGAAGUUAAAGCUUCCCAAACAGAGGAAGAGAAGGGGCAUUCGAAGAAUAAGUAUCGAUGAGUCUCGAUGCCAGCAGAACAGAGAACACAAGCUGAGGUGACGUUAAUACCCCAGCCCCGCAACCUGUCCUUAGUAGGCAAUCUGCCCAGGAACGCAAGCCACAUAAUAAAUGAGUAGCGCGGAACUAACUUGAUUUUGGAGUCAAUAAUCCAUAGCUUGCUUUUCAAAUAUCUUUUUGUUUUUUUUGUUUUCCACGUUUUUCAAAUAUCUGUUGGACCAUUUUGUCUUAGAUUUAGAUUCAAUAACUUUUGCUAUACUAUACUGUGUAUUCUUCUUGUACUAAAUUUUGUAAAAACUGAAUACCCAAACAAAAAAAUACAUGAAAUACAAGUAUUUUAUUUAAAAUUUAGACCUGUUCUCUUAUUCGUUGGACUAAAUAUACAAUAAUAAAUGGAUAAAUUAUUUAUAAAAUAACAGUUAUAAGAUAGAAAAAAAAUUACUACGGAUGUGGUACAACAAAUUUCUCGUUAAGAGAGAUAUGGGCCGGUCGAAGUGCCGGCCUCUAUAGAUAAGCCGGCACCGCGUAUAUUACGCACAACGUAUUCCGCUCUUUUUUUGUUACAUCAUUGUGCAGAAUGCAGAUUCCUAACCAAAGAAAAAGAAAGUUUUUAAAAAUAUUUAAUUAUAAUUAUAUGAUGAAAUCAAGAAUGG